CAUGACAUAUAUAAUAAUAAUAAUAAUAUUAUUAUUCAAUCUCACCAUUUAUUUAAUAUAAUAUUACAUGAUAAUUAAGAGGGCACUUCAUUUAUUUAGGUGUGUGUGAGUGAUGAUGGAGUAGUCCUAGGUAAUAGUGACGGUUGCUAGAGAUGUAAGUAUCCCAAAAAUUGCUGCCAAAGUUUGACCAACCACAUUCUCAAGUAAGUUUCCAAUAAGGAUAACAGGAGCUACAAGGGUUCCUGUGGUUGGAGUCAAAGUGCAAUUAGCAAUUGGGAGAGGAAUCCUUGCAAUACAUGUUCCUGACAAAAGACUUGUAUUGGUGGACACUGCAGCAUUAAUAAUGCCUUGACUAUUUGUGGACACUUGAGCAAUCGUUGUGUUGCCACAAAUAAUCGUUACAUUUGCUCCACUCACUCCGACGCCUGGGGCAUUACUUCCCGGUACGGAGCAAGACAAACUCCCCAAUAUACUUAAAUUAACAACACGAUCAACAACAGGUGGUACAAUCGGUGGUACUUGACCACCAACAGGUGGUACAAUCGGUGGUACUUGACCAACAACAGGUGGUACAAUCGGUUGGCCAAGAAUAGGACUAAGAAUGGGACCGACAAUUGGACUGAGAAUAGAACCAACAAUCGGUAAUUGGCCAAGACCAACAGGUGGUACUUGACCAACGGGUGGUACAAUACGUGGUGCAGGUUGCCCCAAAAUGGGACCCAAAAUGGGACGAACAAUGAGACCCAAACCUUGAGCAUGAGCUAGAGGACUGAUGGUGAUGAUGGAAAGUAGAACAACAAGGGAAACAACACACAUUUUUGAAGACAUGAUGAUUUGAUAAUAUUUUUUUCUGUUCAAUAUCCCCUUUUUAUAGUGCUCCUUUUUAUUUACUCCACCCCUACCUUAACUUACCCAACCCCCUAAUUUAUAUAAAUGAUUAAAUAUAUUAUCUUUCAUCCCUAAAUAGCAUUAUUAAAGACUUACAAUAUCUCCCUAUAUCAUCAUUAGUUAGGCUGAAACUCAUCAACUUGAACAACAUUGGGACCAUACAAAUUAAUUAAUUCAAUAUCAUUUUGACUUGUCAUAAGAAGAAAUUUUUUUGUAAGCUGAGGCCAAAAGUAGGGUGGGCAUUCGGUAUUUCGAUUCGGUUUCAGUUUUUUUUCCGAUUUUUUGAUUAUUGUAAAUUGUGUACCGAAUACCGAAUCAAAAUAUUUUGGUUCAGUUUGGUUUUUGUUAAUUCGAUUCGGUUUUUUAUUUCGGUUUUUUAUGUUGAUGGCGCGGCUGCUAGCUGCUGACUGGUUGAAUGUUGAUGGUGCCUGGCAGACGGCGUGGCGGCGCUGCUGCUAGUUGCUUGACAGCGCGGCGGCGCUGCUGCUGUCUGCUUGACGGUGCGGCGGCGCUACUGCUUCUUUUGGCGGCCGGCCGGCGCAGCUGCUACUUCUCGCGGCUGCUGCUGCUUCUUCUGGCGGAUGGCCGGCGCUGCUGCUUCUUCUGGCGGACGGCCGGCGCUUAUGCUGAAUCUGGCUGGAGGAGAAGAAGAAGAAGAAGAGGAAGAAGAGGAGAGGAAGAGGAAAGACCAAGAGGAAAACAAAUCAGUAGAAAGAUGAAAGAGAGAGGAAUAGGGCCCGUAGGGUUUCUUUUUAAAAAAAUUAUUUAAUAUUAAUAAUUAUUAAUUAAUAUAAUAUAAAUUAUAGUAUAUUAUUUCGGUUUAAAUCGAAAUAUCAAAAACUAAAAUAAUACAUACCGAAAAUCGAACCGAAAUACCAAAAAAUAUAAAAAAGUAAAUCGAAAACCGAACUGAAAACCGAAAUAUCGAAACCGAAAUUUUGAAAAAUUUCAAUUUCGUUUGGUGUUUCGGUUUUCCGAUGUUUGCUCACACCUAGCCAAAAGGCCUUUAAUUUGCUCAUAGGAACUAUUUUGAUGGAAUAAAUAACUCCACUUGGUUUGGGUGUCAAAAAAAACAACAAUAAAAAUAACAACAACCAUCGAAGAUUUUUGAAAAUAGUUGUGUGAUUGUUAAUCACUUCAUUUAAAAAAAAAUUAAUGUUAUAUCAUGUUUUUAAUUAUAAUAAACUACACUAUAUAAUAAUAAUAAUAAUAAUAAUAAUAAUAAUAAUAAUAAUAAUAAUCAAGGGCAAAAAGCUAAUCUACUUGGUCAACAUAAAAUGACUUUUAAGUUGAAAAAAAAACACCCCUCACCUAUCUUUUAGAUUUUGGCAUAAAAUAAGUCAUUUUGGACUUAAAAUAAGUCACUUUGAUAAUUGUCAAACACUCAAAUAAAUCAAAAACUGAAUUUUAAAUCAGUUUGACCAGCUUUUAAGCCCAUUCCAAUAGGCUCUAAGUGUGUAAAUAACUUUUCGAUACAAGUUCAAGGUGAAAUUUAUGUCUUUUCCCUUUGAAAUACCUAUCACAAUACUUUAUUUCUCACGCCAUGUAUUCAUGAUAUAAUAAAAAUAUAUAUAUUAAAUAUUGAAUAAGAAAUUUAUGGGUGCCUCGACUAUGUUAAAAAAAGACAUAUGUCUUAGGUCCCCCAAAUUUAAGGGGCCUCAUUUUUAAUAAUAAUAGGUUAUAAGUUAUUAUUUUUUUAACAAAUAUUGAAUACUAUUUAUAGAAAAAGUAAAAUUUUUCAUGAAAAAUAAAGGAAUUAUAGAAGAAAUUUGACAUGUUUGAAGUAAUAUAUCUCAAGAAAAAUAAUUUAAAAUAAGAAUGAUUAUAUUAUCAAUUGAAAACUAGAAGAAAUCAAUUAUAUGAAGUUAUUGACGAUUCAAGUCUAAUGAUCUAUUUAAUUUUUGAUUUAAGCCACUAAUAUACUUAAGUCACUUCUAAAGAAAUUUUGAUAUUUUUUCAAAGAAAGAUGUAACAUAAAAGUUAUAAUAAAAUAUGUCUUUUACUUUAUCAGAAAAUAUCAAGAGAACGUGGGAUGAAUGCAUGAGUUAAUUUGACAAAGUUUUAUCAUUCAUUACAAUAUUAUUAAAAUUAAUAAUCUAUCUUAUUUAAUGGCUCAAUAAGUGAAUGAAAAGACAUGUUAAAACUAAUGUAAUUAAGUAUUUUACUUUUACAAAUUAUGACUUAUUAAAACUAAUGUAAUUAAGUAUUUUACUUUUACAAAUUAUCAAAAAUUUCAAAGGACUAAAUCGUUAUGUCAGAAGUGAUUUUAUUUUCACGGUGUUAAGUGAAAUCGCUAAAUCACUGACCUACCAGCGAUUUUGUUCAUAUUUUUUUCCUAUUUUUUUUAAAGGCAACGAUUUUAGUGGAUUUUUUUCCUUACAUCUCGUAAUUUGAAAUAACUAAGAAAUCAAGAAUAAACAAAAUCGCUUCUGAUAUAGCGAUUUAGUGCUUUUAGUUUUAAAAAACUUAAUGUACCCUUUUGAAAUUUUUAAUGUUUUUUUUAACUCAAAGAAAAUUUUUGUAUGGGUAGUGUUUUUGGAUUUUUUUUUAGAAAAAUAAAAUUGCUUUACUGUCGCAUUUUUAUUUUAAUUGUUUUUAAUAUCGCUGCCUAAAAAGCGAUUUAAGUGGGAAAUUAUUAUACUUUUUGGCAAAUGGUAGCGAUUUGUGUGGAAUAUUUUUUAUUUCUUUCUUUUUAAAAAUCUUGGCAACUCUUUAGUUAAAUAACUUUUAUUAAGAUAUUGCUGGCAAUUAUUUUUUAAAAAUUCGUUUUAAAUGUUGGUAAUCAAUUUUAAAAAAUAAUUAUACAAUUUUUUUAAAAAAAAAAUUGGCACUGAUAUUUUUUUUUAAAAAAGAACUUCCACCAAGCAGCGAUUUUUUAUAUAAAAAUCACGAAAAUAGCUGUCAAGAAUUUUUUUUCCAUUAAAACGCUGUUUUUUUUAAUAUAUAAAUGUUGCAUUGCAGUGAUUUAAAAAAAGAGAAAAUUGUAUAUAAUAUAGUAAACUAAUAAUAUAAAAUAAAAUGAAGCAGCUAGGAUUUGAUUUAAUUGUGCUCCAUAGCAAAUGUUUGCAAAAAAUUGCCAGACACCUCUCUCCCAAAUAUCUCGCUCGCCACUCUCCUCCAAUCUCUCGCUCUCUUCCUCACUUUUUAUACAAACACAAGUGUAUAAAAAUUGUUUCUAAUUGUAUAAAGCAGAAAAAAUUGUAUAAAUACAUAUAUUUUUGUUUCCUUCUCUCCUCUCUUCUAGAUCUCGCUCGCCACUCUCCCAAAUCUCGCUCGCCACCCUCGCCUUUCUCACUUAUAUAAACAGAAACGAAAUGUAUAAAUUGCGUUUCUGUUUGGAUAAAGCGUGAGAAAAUUGUAUAUACACAUGCAAGUACAUAUAUUUUCGUCCUAUACACCCAGUUUCUUUUGCCUUUCUCUCUUUCUCAUUUUAUACAAUUUUCAAAUUGUAUCUAAUUUCUUUCUUCCUCGUUUUAAGUAAAGUUAUCAUUACAUAAAUCAAAUGGAGUGAGCUCAAACUUUAGUUAAUUUUUUUUAAAAAAAAUAUUUUGUUGUUUAACAAUUUUUAAAAUGAAAAUGCUAAACCUUUUUCACAAUUAUGUUUUAUAGUUUUUUUAUCAAUAUCUAGUCGAUGAUAACCAUAAUUUUAAUAUAAAUAAUAUAAUAAGGUAACUUAAUUCUGAAAUUCAAGUAUUGAUAUUUUUGAGAAAAUAUUUAUUUAGAAAUUGUAAAACAUUCAUAAUCUAAUAUUUAAUAUGUUUCUUACUCUCAACGAAUGACACUAAUUCAUCAUGAUUCAAAAUUGUAAGAAGUAAAAAUCAAUACUAAAAAGUGCAACUCAUUAUUAUAUGAAGUUUAAUAUGUAGUUUAUCUAUUGUCGAAAGUUUUCCAAGUAUAUGAUAUAUAAUUCUAUGAUAAAUUAAUUUUUGAUCCCAUAUAUUUAUACUAUUUUCAAAUUUAUACCGUUAAUUGAUUAUAUAUUUUCUUAAACUACAAUUACGCGAUCAUUAUUUAUCAAUUCUACUUUAUCAACUUUAUAUUCUUCUUUUUUAUAUCUUUAGAAUUGUGCUAUUUUUGUUUUCUUAUUUAAGUUACAAUUUUAAAGAUAAAAUAAAUAUUUUUUGGAGAUAAAAUAAGUUAAAUAAAAAACUAUAUGAAUACUUAUGUUGAAAAAAAUUAUAUAUAAUUAAAAAAUUGUCCUAUUUUUAUUUUCUUAUUUAAGUCACAAUUUUUAAAGAUAAGAUAAAUAUUAUUUUGAGAUAAAAUAAGUUAAAUAAACUAUAUGAAUACUUUUGUUUAGAAAACAUUAUAUAUAAUUAAAAAAAUUACAUAUAUGAAAGAUUAUAAAAUUAUACUGGUUAUGUUGUAGUAGUAAUAAACAUAGAUGAACAAUUUGAAUUGUCAAGAGUAUAAAAAUAAAAAUAUUUUUCACAUUAUUAUUAUAUCAAACAAAUACAAAUUGAUUUUCAAAAAGAAUAAUAAAAUGUAUUUGUGGGUCACACAUGAAACAAAAAUUAUGUGAUUCUUGAAAAAAAAUAAUAGAUUCUUCUAGAAAACUAUUUUGACAAUUAAUUAUACAAUUAUAAAUUUAAAACUUUGCCCAUAAAAAUAAUUAAAAUUACAAAAUUGUCAUUGAUUGGCCUCAUCAUGACUCUUAUGUAUAAUAGAAACUAGACAAUUGAAGGCCCGUUCAUGGGCUCAAUAUAAUUAAUUAUUUUUUUCAAUUUUAAGUUAAAAAAAUUAUCCAAAUUAAUAUCUUAUUUUAUCAUAGUUUCUAAAAUUUUCUACUAUUUAAACAAUUACAAAAAUGUCCUCUCAGAUACAUUCUUAUCCUCUGUCGGACACAUCAGUAUCUCCUCUCGAAUACAUUCCUAUCAUUUCUUGAAUACAUCUUUAUCUCAUCCUGAAACAUCCAUAUCCUCUCUUGGAUACAUCUCUCCCCUUUCGGAUACAUUCAUUCUCUCUCGAAUACAUCCCUACCUUCUCGGAAUCAUCGUGAGCUCUAUGUCUGCAAGUUUCCUCAAUAGCAAUGUAUCACGAUCGAUGUAUCCGCAUGUGUUGAUUUAUCUGAAAUUAUUUAAUUUUAAAAAGAUUUCGUAAUUUGAAAAAAGUAGGAAUAUAAUGUAAUUAACUCUUUACUCUAUGACAUAUUUUUCUUUGUAGUCAGUUUCAAAAGAAUGAUGUAUAACAUAUUUAAAUAACAUUUUGACUUUAAAAUAUUCAUUCUAUUCUUAGUAAUAUUAUUUAUAGUCAUAUGAACAUCUAUGGUUUGUUUUAGACCAUGAGUUUUAAAAGUGUUUUUUCUUUUAAAAAAUUUUCGUGUUAAGUUAAAUUAAAAUUUCAUAAACCGAAAGGGAGUGAGUACAAACUUUAGAUCAAUUUUAUAUUUAUAAAAUUAAAGUUUUUGUAACUAUUUUGUCUUUUAACAAAAUUUAAAAUGAAAUAAUUCACAAUUAUUUUUAUAGUAUUUUUUUAAAAUCAAUAUUCUAUCAAUAAUAAUAAAUUUUUUUAAUUUAAAUAAGAUAAUAAAGUAUUUUAAUUUUGAAAUUCAUGUAUUGAUAUCAAUUGAGAAAAUAUUUAAUUUUAAGUUGUAAAACAUUCAUAAUCUAAUAUUUAAUGUGCUCCUUACUCUCGAUGAAUGACACUAAUUUAUAAUAAUUCAAGAUUGCAAGAAGUAGAAAUCGAGACUAAAACGUGCAACUCACUAUUAUAUGAAGGUCACUAUGUAAUUUAUCUAUUGUGGAAGUCUCAUUAGUAUAUGAUAGAUAAUUCUAUGCCAAAUUAAUUUUUGUUUUCAUAUAUUUAUACAAUUUCAAAAUUUAUCCCGUUAAUUGGUUAUGUAUUUUAUUAAACUACAACUGCACUCAUUAUUUUAUCUUUUUUUUUAUUCUUACAUUAUCAACUCUAUUUUUUUAUCUCUUUAGAAUUGUGAUACUUUUGUUUUCUUAUUUAAAUCACAAUGUUUUAAAGAUAAAACAAAUUUUAUUUUGGAGAUUAAAUAAAUAUUAUUUUGAAGAUAAAAUAAAAAAAAGAUUUACUAACCUACAACCAGGAAGAUCCACUUUGAAACCCAGCGACGAAGAAAACUUUGAAACUCUUAGCCGCGAAAUGAGGGUGAAAGAGUAAAAUCAUUUCUGGAAAAUAAUGAAACGAGGGGAAAAAAGCGUAAUAAAGAUUUAAGGAAUUAGUCUAUGUGGUAGUGGACCCUAUUGACAUGCAAUAUGGAAUUCACAUAGCAUUUAACAACUUCUCUUAAUUAGAAGGGCAAUUUUGACCCAAUAGUUUCACGGAAAGGGUACUUUUGAGCCGAAAUAUACUUUAAGGGUAAAUAUGAGUUAUUUCAGAUAGUUUAAGAGUAUUUUUUACCCUUUUACUUUUAGUCUACGUGGUAGUGGAACCCUAUUGACGUGCAAUGUGAUGGCAUUUAACAACUUCCAUUAAUAAGAAUUGCACUUUUGACACAAUAGUUUGACGGGGAGGAGAGUUUUGAGCGGAAAUAUAAUUUAAGGUAAAUAUGAAAUAUUUCAGAUAGUUUAAGGAUAUCUUUGACCCUUUUAUGUUAAAACUAUAUGAAUACUUAUGUCUAAAAAACAUUGUAUAAAAUUAAAAGGAAAUUAAAUCAUGGAAGAUGGUAGGCUAUACUGAAUAUGUUGUAGUAACAACAAACAUAUAUAAACUAUUAAGUUGUAUAAAUAUUUUUUAUUUAUUAUAAUCAAACAAAUAAAAGUUAAUCUUUAAAAAUUAAAUAAAAUGAUUACAUGGAGUCCCAUGAAACAAAACUUUUUGUGACUCUUGAAAAAGAUUAUUGGAUACUUCUAGAAAAUUAUUUUGACCACUGAUUAUGCAAUUAUAAAGUUGUAAUUUUGCCCAUAAAUAAUGUUUAAAAUUACAAUAUUGUCAUUGGUCAUCCUAAUCAUGACUCUUCUAUAUAAUAGAAAUAAUAAUAACUAGAUAUCAGGUGCCCGUGCUAACGCAAACGCAACGUAUGUUAGAUUUUUCUUCUUCCAAUUUAUGUGACAAAAAUGAAAUUUGAAAAAAAUGAACUAAAUUUUUUAUAUGUGUUUUUUUUAAAAAAUAUUUUAAAUUAUUAAUUUAUGUAUCUUUUUUGUCAUUUUCGAAUAAUAUAUGUUACUUUAUCUAUUUUAUUUUAUAUGAUACAAGUGAUUUUAGGAAAGUAAACGAAAUUUCUUAUAUGAUUUUCAUAUAUUUUUAGUUGUCAUUUUACUGCGAUUCAUAGUACUUUUUAGUUAUUACGUUAUUUUCAAACAAUAUAUGCAACUUUUUUUUUGUUUCAAUAAAAAUAAGGGAGUCAACAAAAUUUCAUUAUGUUUUUUCAACUACAUUUUUCUAAAAAUAUUUUAAAUUGUUACAUUGCUUUUUAAAGUUUUUUUAAAUGUAACUUUCAAAUAUGUAACAAAUUAGAAAUUAAAACGAAGAAUUAAAGUUUUCAAAUCAUUAUAUUUCUAUAUUAGAAUAUUAAAACCUUUAAAACUACAUAUAUAUGCAUAAAUUAGUAGAAGGAAGCCUAACAACUUAUUUUUAAAAAAAUAUAUGAGAGCUCAUUUUAAUAGUAAUACAUACAUAUUUCAUUUUUCAAUAUCCGAAUCCCUCCUUUUCGAUUUAUAUAAAUUUAAUUUAAUUUAAUUUUUAUUUUGUUUCAAAAAGAAAAUAACUUCUGAAUUUUAUUUGUUUAUAAAGCAUAUUUAAGAUCACAAAAUCAAAAAAAAAUAUUUCAAUUCACAAAAUUUAAAUAUACAUAUAAAUUUUAAUUUUAAUUUUGAUUGGUUCCACCUAAUAUUAUACUUGAUAUAUAAUUAUUAAGAGCUAAGCGUAAUCAUUAUCUAUUUACUUUCGUAUAAUAAAUAGAUAUCACAAUAACUCUUAAAAAAUGAAGAAAUAACGAAAAUGAGAUAAUACUAAUAAUAAUCACUAAAGAUUUUCUAGAACUAGUUAAAUUUCUUGUUAUCAAUCGUGUUAGUUUUUUGCUUGCAUAAAUUACAUUUUUACCUUCGAUCAUCAUUCACUUCAUAUAUAGAAAGAUGUUUCUAGAAUUAUUUAUUCUUGAUAAAUUAUUGUUAGAAUGAAAUUACAUUUUAUUCUUAGUCGUCUUUAAUACAAAGUAUCAUCCUAUUCAUUUUUUAUUUGUCAAGUUACUUUUUAAGAUCUUUUUCUUUAAUUUCAGUCUAAUAUAUAUUAUUAAUUUAUCACACUUAUUUAUUUUCAAGUAUAUUAUUAGAGUCAAAAUAAAGAUGAAAAUAAUUAAUUCAUGAUAACUUUUUAUAUAAAAAGUAGGCAUAUAUUAUAAGCAUAAUGAAUAGAAAAAAAUAUUAAGAAUUAAUUUAAAGUAAUAGUAAAGUAGAGUAAUUAUAAAAUAGAUAUCACAAUAACUCACAAAAGAAAAGAAAGUGAAGUGAUAACAAAAUAAGUUAAUGGUAAUAAUAAUAACUUAAAAUAUUUCUAGAACUAUUAUUUUUAUUUUUUUUUGUUAUCAUUCUUCAUAGAUUUUUGUUAGCAUGAAAUUAUAUUUUUGCUGUAACGACCUGUUUAGUCGUUUGGAGCAGCAGAGUUAAUUUCUGAAAAUCACUGUCUGGGUCGACGGAUCCCACGACAGACCGUCAUGGGCACGACGGACCGUCGAGGGUGUCUCGUGCCAAAACACUUAGAAUUUAGAAAUUUGGGUACUGAGAUCGACUCUCUGAACUUCACGACGAAAUGGCAGGACGGACCGUUGAGGGCUCGACGGACCGUCACAAAUCCUUCCGCAGAAUUAACUCUCUGAACCUUGUGACGGACGUGCAGGACGGACCGUCACAGUUGUGACGGACCGUCACAGGCUGCGUGACCCUGACUGGGUCGGAUUUCUGUUAAAUAUUUUAAGGGGCGUUUUGGACUAUUCCUACUUAUAAUUAUAAAGUUAGUGGUUUAAUGUUAAUAAUUUAAUUACUUGGGGGUUAAAAGAGAGAACCUUGAAACAAAUAGUGGGAUAUUUUAUCAUCUUUUAUACUUAAUUAUAUGCUAAUUAGGGUAAAAGAAAGAGGGUUUGAAUAAGAAAAAGAAAAAGAACAGAGAGAGAGGGAGAAACGAUCGAUUGAGAGAGAAGAAGAACGCAGCUUUGGGAAAGUAGAUUGCUUGAUCACAAUCCUUCGGUGGAGGUAGGUUAUGGUUUAUGCUAUUCGUAGUAAACUCUUAAUAGCGAAUGAUAUGUAUUGGGUAGUGUUGUAAACCCUUCUAUAUGCUUAAUUGUAUGCUUGCAUGAAUGUGAUUAUAUAAUUGUGAUAAAAUAAGCAUGAUGAAGCUAUUGAAUCCUAAAUCUUGAAAAUCCUAAUCUACUUUGUUAAUGAUGAUGCCUUGGUAUAAAAGAAGGCUUGAUGAACGAAAGUAGUAAGAUUAGGGGAUCGGAGUGUCACGUUCCGACACCAGGAUAGUAUAUGGAUCGGGUGCCACGUUCCGGUACCAGGAUAGUAUAUGAGGAUCGGAGUGUCACGUUCCGACACCAGGAUAGUAUAUGGAUCGGGUGCCACGUUCCGGUACCAGGAUAGUAUAUGAGGAUCGGAGUGCCACGUUCCGGUACAAGGAUAGUAUAUGAGGAUCGGAGUGUCACGUUCCGACACCAGGAUAGUAUAUGGAUCGGGUGCCACGUUCCGGUACCAGGAUAGUAUGAUGAGGAUCGGAGUGUCACGUUCGGACACCAGGAUAGUAUAUGGAUCGGGGUGUCACGUACCGACACGAGAGAAAUAAAGAUAAUGAAUCUUGAAAGAUGUUAAUAUACUCAAUUUAAUGAACCUAAUUCCCAAAUGAGUAUGAUGGGGAGGCGUGAGUCCUCAUUGAUGUGCUUGGUGUUGUGACCAAGAGUUAUGAUAAUUAUAAAUGCCGCAUGUUGAGUAUUGUAGUUGAUUUUAUGAUAUAUCUGAUAUAUACUAUUUUCUAUUUUGAGUUGGCCGAUGAUAUCUACUCAGUACUCGUGUUUUGUACUGACCCCUACUUGUAAUUGUUUUUCUUUGUUAUUUGUGGAGUGCAGCAAACGUACCGUCGUCUUCAACUCAACCGCAACUCUAGCCAGUCUUCAUUACACCGGAUUUCAGGGUGAGCUAACGCUUCUAGCUUGGACUGGAUCUUCUUCUUCAUGUCUUGAUGCCUUGAAGUUCCGGCAUGGACUAGCUUUUUAUUUAUUCUAGCUUUCUAAAUACUCUUAGAAUUAGUAAUUUGAGGAUAGAUGUUCUUGUGAUGAUGACUUCCAGAUUUUGGGAAUAAUAAGUAUUGAGUUUUUAGAAGUUAUUUAACCGAUUUUCAUUAAUGAGUUUAAGUCUUCCGCAUUAUAUUCUGUUUAUUAUGGUUCAAAUGUUGGGGUUUAGAUUGGUUGGUUCGCUCACAUAGGAGGGUAAGUGUGGGUGCCACUCGCGGCCCGCUUUGGGUCGUGACAUUUGCCCUUGAUUAUUAUUCACUUCAUAUAUAGAAAGAUGUUUCUAGUAUUAUCAAUUAUCUUGCUUAAUAGAUUUUUGUUAGCGUGAAAUUACAUUUUUGCCCUUAAUCGUCCUCCCACUUCACUCUUCUAUAUAAUUGAAUAGAAAUACAUUAUAUAAAAUAAAUAUUUAUAAAUGAUUAUAAGUUUUCUAUAUCCUUUUUAUAGUGAUUAAUUUACAAUAGGUAAAUGGAUAUGUAUGGGUAAUAAAAUAUAUAUGAGAAUAGUAAUUUAAUUGUGAUAUAUGGCAAAUUCAUCAAAUAGUCAGUCUCUAAUAAUUUAUAUAUUAGUAGUGAAGUAUAAUGUUAAAUUUUAAACGAGGAUUUACAUAACGUGAGAAAGACUUCUUUUCUUUUUUAUUUUCUCAAGAGAUUUUUACAUUUUAAAAUUAGUUUAUAACUUAACAUUAAAUUACUUUAUAUGUAUUUUACUUAUUCAAACUCUCACAUAAUUACUUGUACAUUUGUUUAUUUAUGGUCUUCAUAUAUAACCCCUAGUAUAGCCUUGCUAAACUAAAUUUUGAAAAUUAUUACUAGUAAGGUGUUUGUUUCCUCACCUCAUAUAUUUACAUCAUAUGCAUAAAAAUUAUGUAAAAUGAAUAACAUAUUUUUUUAUUUAUUUUUAAAGAGACUAGUUAUUUGGGGCCGCUAAAGCCUACUUCAAAAUUAGCAAAUCAAAAGAAAGGAAGUGUACCUAUCAACCAAGUAAAAAUGUCAACUACUUCUAAAAAGUUUGGACAAUUUUUAAGACUAUGAAAAUAUAGAGACAUAGUAAAAUAUUGCGUGAAUCACUUAAUAAAAUCGAAAACAUAAUAUAUUGGAGAUAGUUUUACUAAAAAUAAUUUUACAAUAAAAUUGAAAUGUGUACAUAUUUAUUGAAUUGUGGGUAUAGAGACAAUUUUUAAGCUUUUUUCUGAUUUACAUAUAUUAAAUCGCGAAAGAAGUCAUGUGUUCUUAAUAAAAUAAUCGCUAAUGGCAAUUAUAUUUGCUGCUAAAAUUCUUCCUCUAAAUAACUUAAUUUACACUUUUAGCGUUUAAGACGCAAUGUCCAUCUUAAACUAAUAAAUAUGAGAAAUAAAUAAACUCAAUUGGGGGAUAACAAUUUCUUAAUUAGUAUGUUAUAUAUACAUUAUUUCAAUUAUACUUUCGAGUUUUGAUAUUACGAAAAUAUAAUGUCAAACUUUAAAGACAAGAAUUUACAAAUGAGAACGACUUUUUUUUAAAAUAUAAUGUCAAACUUUAAAGACAAGAAUUUACAAACCAUGAGAACGACUUUUUUUUAUUAUACGUUUUAUUAUAUAUAUAUAUAUAUACAUACACACACACAUAUAUAUACAUAUAUCAUUGACUCUAUAUAUAUAAGAUAGGAAAGAGGUUAAAAUAUAUCAUUGAACUUUCAGAAAAAAACUCAUUUAUUCAUCAGUUAAAAGUUUGGCUCAUUUAUGCCAUUACCGUUUAAAAAAGAUUCAUUCUUGCCAUUAUUUUUUAAUAAUGGUUUCGCAAAACCAUUUUUAAUACGUGACCAAUUAUAAUCGGCUACGUCCUCAAUUUAUUUAAUUAAAAAAUCAUCAUUCUAAAAAAAAUUGAAUUCAUUUUUUUUGAUUUUUUUAUUAAAUAAAUUGAUGACAUGGCUAAUUAGAAUUCAGUGGGAUUUCUUAAAUUUGGGCGGGUCUUUAUUUGAGUGGGGUUUUUAUUUAAUGUUUUCUCAGAAUUGAUUUUUUAUCAAAAAAAAAUAAAAAAUGAUGUGGCCGAAUCAUAACUUGUCACGUGUGAAAAGUGGUUGGGCAAAAUCGCCGUUAAAAACUAAUGGCAUGAAUGAGUCUUUUCCUAAAUGGUAAUAACAUGAACGAGUCAAACUUUUAACGGAUGACAUAAAUGAGUCUUUUCUAAAAGUUCAACGGCAUAUUUGAGCUUUUUCCCUUAUUAAAAAAGUGGCUUACAUACACUCAUAUUAUUACAUAAAUAUUCUAAAAUAUACCAUUUUGUUCUAACGGGAGUGAAAACAAAUAUUUUUUUAAACAUAAUUUUUUAUUUUUAAGAAGUAAAAUCUGAAUAUAUUAUCUUCCACUUUCCUAGAAAAUAUUAUCCUACAAGAUUUUUUAUUUUUAAAAUUAAAAUUAAUAUUUUCACUUCCAUUAGAUGAUGAAGAUAUACCUGAAUCACUUUUAUAAUGGUAAGGAUAUGUAUGAACUCUUUUAAUUCAAAUGUGAAUUAUUUUAUAAUGAGCGAUAUAACAAUUUUAAAUUGCAAAGUUAUGAAGACCUUUUUAUUUAGGGAAAAGGGUCUGAUAUACCCCUCAACUUUGUCAUUUAGAGCUGAUAUGCCCCUUGUUGUGAAAGUGGCUCAUAUAUACCCUUACUUGUAAACAAAUGGCUCACAUAUACCCUUUUCCUCUAACGGAAAUGGAAAAAAAAAUAAUUUUAAUCUAAUUUUUUAAUAUUUUUUGUCUAAAAAUUAUAAUCCCAUAUGAGUAAAUUUAAUCCUCGUAAAACAUAUUUUUUUUAACCUUUUUUAGUUUCAAUGACUAAUUUAUAAUUAUUAUUUUGAUAAUCAAAUUUAUUUAUGUUUCACUAAUAUUCUUGUAAAACUUAUUGUAGAUAACCAAAUUUUUUCUUCGAAUAUGAAAUUAAAUUACAAUACACACAAAAAAUAGUUUAAAUUUUUUCUCUUUAAACUAAGGAUUGAAAGAAAAAACAUAAGAAUAAGAAACUCAAAUAAUUAUAAUAAAAAAAGUCAAAAAAUAAUUUAUAUAUGAAAAAAAUCAAAAUAUACCUUGAACUUUGAUAGAAGAAUCAUAUAUAUCCCUAAAUAAUUUUUUUAAAAAAUUACAAGUAAUAAAUAUCAAUUUAAAACUAAUUUUUUAACUUCCGUUAAAUGAAGGGUAUAUAUGAGCCAUUUUGUAACGGGAGGGGUAUAUGUGAGCCGUUUGUAUAACGGUAAGGGCAUAUAUGAGCCACUUUUAUAACGGGGGGUAUAUUAGCUCCAAAUAACAAAGUUGAGGAGUAUAUCAGACUCUUUUUCCUUUUAUUUAUUGUAUAAAAGCAUUUCAUAUACUAGUUACAUAUUUAAAUAUUGAAAAUGUUGAUAAGAGAUCCCAUUAAAUGCUAAAGUAUUGGUAUUUUAAAAAAAUUUCCUUUUAUUUAUUGUAUAUAUCUAACAUCUCGUAACUUCAAAUAACUAAGAAUAAACUAAGAAAUCAAGAAUAAUCAUUUUUGGAAAUAAAUAGGAAAUCUGAAAAAUUUCCCAAGUGUAAAAGUGAGUUUUUGGUCAAUUUCAAACGACCAUAACUCCCAGCUUAGGAGGAGUUAGUGUGAGUUCCUUAUAUGGUUGGAAAUCCCUUGGAAAGAAAUUUCCAACAACGCCAAGUUUGUACAUUUUAGAUGUCGUAUGAAGGAGAUAUGACUUUCGAAAGUUUGGUUGUUGGAGUGAGGAAAAUUCAAUCCGGAUUUAGUAAGGAUAAAGUAGUCUUUUCACCCUAGUAUUUUCUAAUUCGUUUUAAGGGUUUAUUAGGGGUAAAAUCAAGUCCAUAUUCAGUUUUGAAAAAGUUGAGAACGCUCAUGGCUUGGGAGAAAAGAGAAGAGAAAACCAAAAUUUCUUCAAGAACGCUAAGGUUUCGCUAGAGGAAUUCAUCGGGGGUGAUCUCUAUCGAGGUAUAUGAGAUCUUUCUAUGUUGGGUUCGUUCACCCACACACCAACAUGUUUAUUUAGCAAUUUUUGUAUUGAUUGAAUAAUGAAUCUUGAAGUUCUUGAUGAGCAAUUGUUGAAUCCUUAUUGGUAGAGUUGUAGUGUACCUUUAGUUGGUGUUGAUUCGUAUUUUCAGGCUGUUUUACGAGUCUAAACUAUUGGGUAUUGAGUAUAUUAGUGAUUGAUACGCUCAAACUUACUUUUUAAAUAAGAAGUAAAGCAGUAAAUGGGGGUUUCUAUUCCUAAAUAAAUGAAAAUAACUAGCGAAAUUAAAGGAGACAACUAACAACUUCGAAUGUUGGAGUUUAAUCACUUAAUCAAAGUAACUAGGGUUUACGUGUUCCCCACAGGUUCAUAACUUGAUAAUUCUAACUAUAACAAUUCUUUCCUAGUAUCUUGCAUGCAAAGUGAUAAGUUAUGUAUUUCUAAAUCCUUGGUCCGGCAUCUAGAAAAUUUCACUCGGCACCUUGGUCCGACUACGUGUGUUGCUAUACUAACCCUUAUAUUUACCUCAUAUUAAGCAUCGUAUUCGAUAUUUGACUAAGUUAUUACCCCGUACCAAUCAAUACUAGCCUAUUAGAUAGUAUACACUAAAUUUAUAUUGAUAAUUCUUUUCCUAUUAUCUUCCUCCUUGGUCCGACAAGUAGCAUUAAGGCGAGUUCUAACGUUGGCCAUCCGUUAAAAAGACUUCCAAGCGAAAGAAUUAUCAAUACAUGCAAGACACUAUUCUAGAAUUGUUAUUUUAGUUAGAUUUUACCUCAUUAUUCGCCUAUGGUUCCCACAACCCUAAUUAUGGAGUUUAGUUACCCAUAAUCAUAAUCACAAUAUUCAAAUAUAUGAUAUAAGAAUUCAUGCACUUACUUCAAUGAGAAAGAGUAAAAUCCAAAAGUUAGCUUGAUUAAUCAACAAUCAAUUACAAGAAUAUCAAAAUAAUCAAGAAUCUCACAAAAAGUCUAAAAAAUAAUCAAGAGUCUAACAAUAAUCAAGGGCCUAACCAAAUAAUCCAGAGUCUAACCUCAAAAACGAGGUUUUUCAAACUAUUUAUAAAAAAUAAAAACCUAAUUACAUAAGGACUCUAUUUGCUGGAAAUCUGUCAAAACGCGGCUGGGUCAACGGACCUCGCGACGCAUCGUCGUGGUCACGACGGACCGUCAUGGACACGACGGACCGUCAUGGACUCCGUCGUCCCAUACUUGAUGCAAUUUCUUAUGCUGCUCUCUUCAUUACUCUCGACAGCAGGUAUGAUGGAUCGUUACAGGCACAACGAUCCGUCGAGGGUCUCCGUUCCAAAACACUUGAACUCUUGGAAUAUGGGUACUGGGACUACUUCUCUGAACUUCAUGACGAACCUGCAGGACGGACCGUCAUGGAUACGACGGUCCGUCACGCAUUUUGUAACCCCACACUUGGUCAGACUUCCCCAUUUUCCUUCAGCAGCUGCACUACGUUGCCACCUACGGACCGUCACGAGCAUGACGGACCGUCACAAGCAUGACGGACCGUCACAAGCAUGACGGACCGUCACAAGCAUGACGGACCGUCACAAGCUCCGUAGGUGGUCUCUUCUGCAUUUCUUUGCUCAAAAACCUCCGCAUUCAUCUUUGGAUAGAUUUCCUGCAAAUAAGGAGAAACUUAUAUAAAAAUUAGCACAAAAAGAUUUUGGACACACUAACUUAAGGAAAAAAUAUUAAUAAUACCGUGACACCAUAGUAUAUCAGUGAUCCUAAGUGUUUGGGAAAAAUCCAUGAAUGUUUUGAAGGUUUAGAGUUGAAAAUCGGAGAAGAAAAGUCAGAAAACUCGUCUGACAGGUCUUGUGGCACCGUGCCUACAAGAGCCCCUCAGGACAGACUCUUUCUGUCAGGCUCUGGCGCGCCGCCGUGCCAGCUAGAGCGCCUGAAGACAGUGUCUGUCGGUCAGGCGCUGGUGCCCCGCGCCUCUCAGAGCGCCAGGGUCACCUGGAGAUUCUAUUUCUCUCCCAUCUUUUCGUACGAGUUCCUAAGUGACGUAUCUAUUAUUUCUAGUUAGUUCCAAUACUCUAAAGUAAAUAUAAACAUUAUGAAAUCAUCCAUAAUAAUGAGAUCAGGAUCCGUGAAUGCAUAAUCCAAUUCAAGGGAAGUUAAGAUCAAAGUCAAAAAAAGUUAAGAGUCAAGUCUAAAAGUUAAAAAACAAGUCAAAGUAAGUUCCUAAAGCAUUCAAGAGUCUUAAACAAACAUUUUAACUUUGUUUUAAGGUUCAAGCAAUGAGUUGAGCAAAGAGUAAAAGAGUUGAGUUAAAUUUUCAAAAGCUAUAAGGGAACUAAGUAUUCCCUAAGAGUUAAGUUUCAAGUUAAGCAAAUAGUAACAAGUUGAGUUCACUUCUCAAGAGUUAGAAGGGAACUAAGUAGUCUCUAACAGUUUAAACAAGAUGUUUUUAAACUUUUGAGAAAGAAAGGAAGCUAGACUUCCACAGAGCCUAUGACUAGUUUUAGUAAAAGAAAAAGGAAACUAUGAUUUCUAAGAAAGUUUUUGAAGCAAAGUUUGAGAAAUUAUCUCAAACUAGAGAAGAAGUUGUUUUAAAAAAACAUAUGAGCUAAGUAUUUUGGGAGUAGUAUUGAGCACCGAUAUGGUGACGCGAGUUCAUAUUAACUCAAGUCUCCAUAAACCAUUGAGCCAACAUGGAGAUAUAAAAGAUCAUACUUUUUAGAUGAUUCCUUAGUAAUUUUAGCAUAGACUAGUGAAUCCUCUUAGUAGUUCAGGUUCUAUAUCGACGACAAGGUAUAGAGUGGUCCUCUUGCAACAUGAGGUAAUACGUUGUACCAUCACUUAGGCUCAUAGAUGGUUGUCGGUUAGAUAAUCUCUCAAAGAAAUUAUAAUACUUUCAAAUAUAUGAGUAAAGUUGAGUUUAUUAUUGAUUUAUCUUUAAUGAACUAAGUGUUUACACUGUUUUACAAGCUUUUCUUAUAUCGCAUGUGUCCUUACUGCUUUAUAUUGAGUCGUUAUUAAUGAGUUGAGCAGAACCAAGGUAAGUUCUUCCUUACUCCUUUCAAGCCUUAUAGUAGUGUUUAGUAUUCCAAUUCGCAUACUCGUUUGGCCUGCAUGCAUCGUCUUAUAAUGCAGAAGCAGGUAAUUAGGAUCAACAUGCAGCACUUUGUUGAACCAGUUUGAGCUCUAGAGUCAGUGGUGAGCCUCCAUGCAUUUCGGAGGAUCCUUUUAUUGCUAUCUAGUUAGUUCAAUAGAAUGUUGUGGGGUUUGUCCCAACAUUCAUCUCAGUCAGUUUAGAGGUUUCAUAGACGGAUAGUAGUAGUUAAGUUGUGUCUCUUUAUUUCAGAUUCUAUAUUUGAGACUUAAGUGCAAAUUUGGCCAAGACAGUAUUUAAAGUCAUUUUUAUGAGAACUUCUUCAAUUCUAUAACUGAAUUAAGUUGAGUCUUCCGCUGAGUUAAGUAAGUCAGACCAAGAGUUCCCUUGAGGCCAGCAAUGGUCACCAAGUGCUAGUCCCACCCAGGGUAUAAGCUCGGAGCAUGCUAAUAUAUGCAUUUCAUAUACGACUUACGUAUUCAGAUACUUUUAACAUUUUGUUAGAGCAGAAGAGUCUUAACUUAUAUAUGUAGGUGAAGUAUUGAUAUAUUGGGAUAUUGGUACUUAUUAUUAUUUUACUUUAAUACUUAUUUAUAAGUCUACAACACACGGUAAGCACACACAAGGUGCUCAACAUGUGUGCUUGAAGUAAAUUUAAUUUUGAAUGAGGUUAAUUUGGUCAUUUUAUAUAAUACUCAAUGUUUCUUUUACUUGUACAAAAUGCAAAAUUGCUUUUAUGGACAUCAAAUGACCAAAAACCCAGUAUCCUUUAACUCAUUGUCAUAUGUUAUAGAACAUUGCAAUUGGUUGAAAAUGAACUUUAAUGUAGUUGCAAUAUAAUUAUUUUUACUUCUUGUCAAAACUGCCCCUAUGCGGCUUAAGCUUAUUUUAUCAACUAUUUGUUAUUACGUGGAGAAAUUAAAGACAUCUUUAGAUGAGUCCUUUUAAGCGGUACCGACCUAGAUAUAUAUAUUCUUUUCGUUUUAUUUAUGUCAUUUUUACUAAAAAUAGGUAAUAUUUAAUAUUUAUCAUUUCACAAAAGUAAUGCAUUAUAUAGUAAUGAAAUCGACUCUCUGAACUCUGUGACGGACCGUCACAGGUACGACGAACCGUCGUGAGCCCCGUUUCAAAACACUUCAACUCUUGAGAAUUUGGUACAGGGAACGAUUCUCUGAACGUCAUGACGGAGGUGCAGGACGGACCGUCGUAGGUACGAUGGGCGUCACAGACUCCUUAAGGAAAUCGAGUCUUUGACGAACCUGCAUGACGGACCGUCGCAGGCACGACGGGCCGUCGCAGGUUGCGCAAUCCCAGUCUAGGUCAGAUUUCUUUACACAUUUUAAGGGACGUUUUUGACUAUUCCUUCUUUAAUUAUAAAGUUAGUGGGUUAAUGUUAAUAAGUCUAAUUACUUGGGGGUUAAAGAGGUAACCUCAAGUUAAUUAGUGGGUUAUUAUUGCCAUCUUUCAUUCUUAAUUAUAUACUAAUUAGGGUAAAAGAAAGAGGGUUUGAAUAAAGAAAAUAGAAAGAACACAAAGAGAGAGAGGGAGAAUCGAACGAGAAGGUGAAAAGAAGAGGAGAAACACAAAGCUUUGGGAAAUUGCUUGCUUGAUUUCUUGUCUUCGGUGGAGGUAGGUUUUGGUUUUCAUGCUAUUCGUAGUAAACUCUUAAUAGCGAAUGAUAUGUGUUAGUAGUAUUGUAAACCCUUCUAUAUGCUUAAUUGUAUGCUUGCAUGAAUGAUGUGAUUAUGGAAUUAUGAAUAAAUAAGCAUGAUGAAGUUAUUGAAUCCCAAAUCUUGAAAAGAAACCUAAUCUACUUUGUUAAUGAUGAUGCCUUGGUAUAAAAGAAGGCUUGAUGAACGAAAGGGGUGAGAUUAGGGGAUCGAGUGCCACAUUCUGGUACCAGUAUAGAGAUAGAGGAUCGGGUGCCACGUUCCGGUACCAGGAUAGAAUGAGGAUCGAAGUGUCACGUUCCGACACCAGGAUAGUAUAUGGAUCGGGUGCCACGUUCCGGUACCAGGAUAGAAUGAGGAUCGGAGUGUCACGUUCCGACACCAGGAUAGUAUAUGGAUCGGGUGCCACGUUCCGGUACCAGGAUAGAAUGAGGAUCGGAGUGUCACGUUCCGACACCAGGAUAGUAUAUGGAUCGGAGUGUCACGUACCGACACGAGGGGAAUAAAUAUAAUGAAUCUUGUAAGAUGCUAAUAUACUCAAUUUAAUGAAACUAAUUCCCAAAUGAGUAUGAUAUUGAGGCUUGAGUCCUCACGUGUGAACUUGACGGUAUUUGUUAAUGAUAUAGUACUUGUUGUUGCUACAUGUUGAGUAUCAUAGUUGAUUUUAUGAUAUUGCUUAAUAUAUAUUGUUUUCUAAUUUCGAGUUGACCGAUGAUAUCUACUCAGUACCCGUGUUUUGUACUGACCCCUACUUUUGUGUUUUCUUCUUUGUUAUUUGUGGAGUGCAGCAAACAUGCCGUCGUCUUCGACUCAACAGUAUUCAAGCCAGUCUUUACUACACCGGAAAUUCAGGGUGAGCUAAUGCUUCUAGCUUGGACUGGAUCUUCUUCUUCAAGUCUUGAUGCCUUGAACUUCCGGCAUGGACUAGCUUCUUAUGUAUUUUUAGCUUCUUAGACAUUUUUAGUUAGUAAUUUGAUCAUAGAUGUUCUUGUGAUGAUGACUUCCAGAUUUUGGGGAAUAAUAGUUAUUGAAUUGGUUUUUAUUUAAUGAGCUUAAGUCUUCCGCAUUAUUUUCUAUUGAUAUACGUUGAAAUGAUAAGGUUUAGAUUGGUUGGUUCGCUCACAUAGGAGGGUAAAUGUGGGUGCCAGUCGCGGCUCGGUUUUGGGUCGUGACAAACCUUGUAUCAGAGCAUUAGGUUCGUUGGUCUCAUCACACAAGAACGAGUCUAGUAGAGUCUUAAGGAACGGUAGGGGGGCGCCUUUACUUUUCUUUGAGGGGCUAUAAGACUUUAGGAAAUUCCAUUCUUUCUUAUCUCUUUCGUGAUACUACUUGAAUCCAAUUGGUAUCUAGGUGAUUCAAAUUGGUAUCUGACCAUCUUCACUCUAUUUCGCAGAUGGUUAGAACUAGAUCAACGACUGCGCCAACACCAACACCGGCAAGACAAGAAACGUCUGAGCCAGCCACUGGGGCUGUGGCUCAAGGAAGAGCAAUAGCAAGAGGUCGUGGUAGAGUUCGUGGGAGGACGUCCUCUAGAGGGAGAGGACGAGUACCUAGCCCAUCUGAUGCUAGGGCGGUGACUCCUCCACCGACUGAGGAAGUAGUAAGAGAGGGUGAGGAAGGGGAGAAUGAACAAGUGCAAAAUGAUGAAUUGCCACCCCAACCUACCCCAGAGAUGAUCAAUCAGGUUCUCGCUUAUCUUAGUGGGUUAUCUGAUUAGGGCCAGACACCUCCAGUGUUUUCUGCACCAGUACCUCAGGUUCCGGAGGUACAACAUGCGGCUACUAUGGCUCCUCGUAUGGAUGCCUCAUUGGACAUAGGCACGUUUCCACGUCUGACUACUGGGCCUAUAAUGACAAAUGAUCAGCAUGAACUUUUCAGUAAGUUCUUGAAAUUGAAACCCCAGUCUUCAAGGGUGCUGAAUCUGAGAAUGCUUACGAUUUUCUGGUUGACUGUCAUGAGCUACUACACAAGAUGGGUAUAGUAGAACGGUUUGGUGUUGAGUUCGUGAGUUAUCAGUUUCAAGGGAACGCCAAAAUGUGGUGGCGGUCACAUGUUGAGUGUCAACCAACAGAGGCACCACCUAUGACUUGGGCCUCAUUCUCUAGCUUGUUUUGGAGAAGUGUGUCAACCAACAGAGGCACCACUAUGACUUGGGCCUCAUUCUCUAGCUUGUUUAUGGAGAAGUAUAUCCCCCAGACUUUGAGGGAUAGGAAAAGGGAUGAGUUCUUGAGCCUAGAUCAAGGUAGGAUGUCGGUUAAUGCAUAUGAGGCUAGGUUUCGCGCACUAUCCAGGUAUGCCACUCAACUUUGUUUCAGUCUACAAGAGCGGAUUCGCCGGUUUGUGAAGGGGUUGAGGUCAGAGUUGCGGAUUUCGGCCUUACAGGUAGCGGCUACGGCAAAAUCCUUCCUAGAAGUGGUAGACUUCGUGAUAGAGGUGGAAGGAGUGAAGCCCAAUGACUUCACCUCGACAUCGACAUCAAAAAGGUUUCGAAAGGGAGGUGAGUUUAAUGGUUCUUACCCUAGGGGAUAGGGUUUCGGAGGUUACUCAGUCCGACCGAUUCAGUCUUCACUACAGACUGUAGUUGGGGGUCCACCUCAGCCGGUCAAAACUUCCUGAGGAGACCUAUGCAUGAACCAAGAAAGUGCUAUGGAUGUGGGUUUCAAUUUUGGAGAUUAAAUAAAUAUUAAUUUUGAAGAUAAAUAAAAAAAAGAUUUACUAACCUACACCAGGCGAAGAUCCCACUUUGAAACCCGCGACGAAGAAAACUUUUGAAAACUCUUACCGCGAUGAGGGUGAAAGAGUAAAAUCAUUUUCUGGAAAAUAAUGAAAACGAGGGGAAAAGCGUAAUAAGAUUUAAGGCAAUUUAGUCUAUGUGGUAGUGCCCUAUUGACAGCAAUAUGGAAUUCAACAUAGCGAAUUUAACAACUUCUCUUAUUAGAAGGGCAUUUUGACACAAUAGUUUCACGGAAGGGUACUUUUUGAGCCGAAAUAUACUUUUAAGGGUAAAUAUGAGUUAUUUUCAGAUAUUUAAGAGUAUUUUUUACUCCUUUUACCUUUUAGUCUACGUGGUAGUGGACCCUAUUGACCGUGCAAUGUGAUGGCAUUUUACAAUUCAUUACAGAAUUGCACUUUUUGACACAAUAGUUUUGACGGGGAGGAGAGUUUUUUGAGCGGAAAUAUAAUUUAAAGGUAAAUAUGAAUAUUUCAGAUAGUUUAAGGAUUCUUUGAGACCCUUUUAUGUUUAAAACUAUAAUGAAUCUUAAUGUCAAAAAACAUUGUAUAAAAUUAAAGGAAAUUAAAAUUCAUGGACAGAUGGUAGGCUAUACUGAAUAUGUUGUAGUAAACAAACAUAUAUAAAACUAUUAAGUUGUAUAAUAUUUUUUAUUUAUUAUAAUCAAACAAAUAAAGUUAUCUUUAAAAUUAAAAUAAAAUGAUUACAUGGAGUCCCAUGAAACAAAAUUUUUGUGACUCUUGAAAAAGAUUACUGGAUACUUCUAGAAAAUAUUUUGACCACUGAUUAUGCAAUUAAUAAAGUUGUAAUUUUGCCCAUAAUAUGUUUAAAUUACAAUAUUGUCAUUGUCCAUCCUAAUCAUGGAAUCUUCUAUAUAAUAGAAAUAUAAUAACUAGAUUCAAGGGUGCCCGUGCUAACGCCAACGCAACGUAUGUUGAUUUUUCUCUUCCAAUUUUAUGUGACAAAAAUGAAUUUGAAAAAAUGAACUAAAUUUUUUAUAUGUGUUUUUUUUUAAAAAAUAUUUUAAAUUAUUAAUUUAUGUACUCUUUUUUGUUGUCAUUUUUGAAUAUAUCUGUUACUUUAUCUAUUUUAUUUUUUAUGAAAUACAGUGAUUUUAGGAAAGUAAACGAAAUUUCUUAUAUGAUUUUCAAUAUAUUUUUAGUUUGUCCAUUUUACUGCGAUUCAUAGUUACUUUUAGUUAUUCACGUUAUUUUCAAACAAUAUAUGCCAAGCUUUUUUUUUGUUUCAAUAAAAAUAAGGGAGUUUCAACAAAAUUUCAUUAUCGGGUUUUACUCAUUUUUUCUAAAAAUUAUUUUAUUGUUCAUUGCUUUUUAAAGUUUUUUUUAAUGUAACUUUCAAAUAUGUAACAAUUUAGAAAUUAAACGAAGAUUAAAGUUUUCAAUCAUUAUAUUUCUAUAAUUAAGAAAAUUAAAUCGCUUUUAAAACUACAUAUAUAUUGCAUAAAUUAGUAAGAAGGAAGCCAACAACUUAUUUUUUAAAAAAAUAUUGAGAGCUCAUUUUUAAAUAGUAAUACAUAAUAUUUCAUUUUUCAUCAUCGAAUCCCUGCUUUUCGGAUUUUAUAUAAAUUAUAAUUUAAUUUAAUUAUUUUUAUUUGUUCAAAAAGAAAAUAACUUCUGAAUUUUAUUUGUUUAUAAAGAUAUUUAAGAUCACAAAAUCAAAAAAAAAAUAUUUCAAUUCACAAAAUUUAAAAAUAUACAUAUAAAUUUUAAUUUUAAUAUUUGAUUGGGUUCACCUAAAUAUUAUACUUGAUAUAUAAUUAUUAAGAGCUAAGCGUAUCAUUAAUCUAUUUACUUUCGUAUAAUAAAUAGAUAUAGCAAUAACUCUUAAAAAAUGAGAAAUAAAAACGAAAUGAGAUAUACUAAUAAUAAUCACUAAAGAUUUUCUAGAACUAGUUUAAAUUUCUUGUUAUCAAUCGUGUUAGUUUUUUUGCUUGCAUAAAUUUCAUUUUUACUUCGAUCAUCAUUCACUUCAAUAUAUAGAAUAAUGUUUCUAGAAUUAUUUAUUCUUGAUAAAUUAAUUGUUAGAAUGAAUUACACAUUUUAUCUUAGUCGUCUUAUACAAAGUAUCACCUAUUUUUUUUAUUUGUCAAGUUACUUUUUAAGAUUUUUUAUUUAUUUCAGUCUACUAUAUAUUAUUAAUUUAUCACACUUUAUUUAUUUUCAAGUUAUUAUAGAGUCAAAAUAAAGAUUGGAAAAUAAUUAAUUCAUGAUACUUUUUAUAUAAAAAGUAGGCAUAUAUUAUAAGCAUAAUGAAUAGAAAAAAAUAUUAAGAAUUAAUUAUUAAGUAAUAGUAAAGUAGCAGUAAUUAUAAAUAGAUAUAACAAUCUCACAAAAGAAAAGAAGUGAAGUGAUAACAAAAUAAGUUAAUGGUAAUAAUAAUACUUAAAAUAUUCUAGAACUAUUAUUUUUUUUUUUUUUUGUUAUCAUUCUUCAUAGAUUUUUUUUGUUAGCCAUGUGAAUUAUAUUUUGCCUGUAACGACCUGUUUAGUCGUUUGGAGCAGCAGAGUUAAUUUCCUGAAAAUCACUCGUUGGGUCGAUCGGAUCCACGACGAAACCGUUUCAAAAAAUGGGCCCAAAAAAAAAACGAACCGGACGUCGAGGGUGUCUCGUGCCAAAACACUUAGAAUUUAGAAAUUUGGUACUGAGAUCGACCUCUGAACUUCACGACGAAAUGGAGGACGGAACCGUUGAGGGGCUCGACGGACGUCAAAAUCCUUACCGCAGAAUUAACUCUCUGAACCUUGUGCACGGAACGUGCGGACGGACCGUCAAGUUGUGACGGACCGUCACAGGCUGCGUGACCUGACUGGUCCGGAUUUUCUGUUAAUAUUUUAGGGCGCGAUUUUGGACUAUUCUACUUUUAUACACUUAUCAAGUUUAGUGGUUUAAUGGUUAAUAAUUUAAUUACUUGGGGUUUAAAGAGAGAACCUUGGAACAAAUAGUGGGAUAUUUUAUCAUCUUUUUAUACUUAAUUUAUAUGCUAAUUGGUAAAAGAAAGAGGGUUUGAAUAAAAAAGAAAAAAGAGCAGAGAGAGGGGAGAACGAUCGAUUGAGAGAGAAGAAGAACGCAGCUUUGGGAAAGUAGAUUGCUUGAUCACAAUCCUUCGGUGGAGGUAGGUUAAUGGUUUACUUGCUAUUCGUAGUAAACCUUAAUUAGCGAAUGAUAUGUUUUGGGUAUGUUGUAAACCCUUUAUAUGCUUAUUGUAUGCUUUGCAGAAGUGAUUAUUAUUGUGAUAAAUAAGCAUGAUGAAGCCUUUGAUCCUAAAUCUUGAAAAUCCUAAUCUACUUUGUUAAUGAUGAUGCUUUGGUAUAAAGAAGGCUUGAUGAACGAAAGUAGUAAAGAUUAGGGGAUCGGAGUGUCACGUUCCGACACCCAGGAUAGUAUAUGCGAUCGGGUUGCCAACGUUCCGGUACCAGGAUAGUAUAAUGAGGAUCGGAGUGUCACGUCGACACCAGGAUAGUAUAAGUGGAUCGGGUGCCACGUUCCGGUCCAGGAUAGUAAUAAUGAGGAUCGGAGUGCCACGUUCCGGUACAAGGAUAUUAUAUGAGGUCGGAUGUCACGUUCCCGACACCAGGAUAGUAUAGUGGAUUCGGGUGCCACGUUCCGGUACCAGGAUCAGUAUGGAUGAAGGAUCGGAGUGUCACGUUCGACACCAGGAAUAGUAUAUGGAUCGGGGUGCUCAGUACCAGACACGAGAGAAAUAAAGAAUAAUGAUCUUGAAAGAUGUUUAAUUAACUCAAUUUAAAUGAACGCUAAUUCCAAAUGAGUAUAGAGGGGAGGCAGUGAGUCCUCAUUGAUUGUGGCUUGGUGUUGUUGACCAAGAGUUAUGAUAAUUAUAAAUGCGCAUGUUGAGUAUUGUAGUUGAUUUUAGAUAUAUCUGAUAUAUAUCUGUUUUCUAUUUUUGAGUUGGCCGAUGAUAUCUACUCAGUCUCGUAGUUUUUGUACUGACGCCCUACUUGUAAUUGUUUUUGUCUUUGUUAUUUGUGGAGUGCAGCAAACGUACGUCGUCUUCAAUCAACGCAAACUCUAAGCCCGUCUUCAAUUACAACCGGAUUUCAGGGUGAGCUAACGUUCCUAGCUUGGACUGGAUCUUUUCUUCAUGUCUUGAUGCCUUGAAGUUCCGGAAUGGACUAGUUUUUUUAUUUAUUCUAUAGCUUUUCUAAAUACUCUUAGAAUUCAGUAAUUUGAGGAUAGACUUGUUCUUGUGAUGAUGACUUCCAGAUUUUGGGAAUAAUAAGUAUUAGAGUUUUUAGACGUUUAUUACAUUCAACAAGAUUAUAUACAUAUAUAAGAAGAUUUAGUCUUUCCGCAUUAUAAUUCUGUUUAUUAUGGUUCAAAUGUUGGGGUUUAGAUUGGUUGGUUUCGCUCACAUAGGGGGUAGUGUGGGUGCCACUCGGGUCCCGCUUUGGUCGUGACAUUUGCCCUUGAUCUAUUAUUCACUUUACAUAUAUAGAAGAUGUUUCUAGUAUUAUAUCAAUUAUCUUUGCUUAUAGAUUUUUGUUAGCGUGUGAAAUUAAUUUUGGACCUUAAUCGUCCUCCACUUCACUCUUCUAUAUAAUUGAAUAGAAAUAACAUUAUAUAAAAUAAAUAUUUAUAAAUGUUAUAAGUUUUCUAUAUCCUUUUUUUAUAGUGAUUAAUUAACAAAUAGGUAAAUCGGAUAUGUUCGGGUAAAAUAAAUAUAUAUGAGAAUGUAUUUAUUGUGAUAUAUGGCAAUUCAUCAAUAGUCAGUCUCUAAUAAUUUAUAUAUUAGUAGUGAAGUAUAUGUUAAAUUUUAAAACGAGGAUUUUACAUAAGUGGAGAAGACUUCUUUUCUUUUUUAUUUUCUCACGAGAUUUUACAUUUUAAAAUUAGUUUAUAACUUAACAUUAAAUUACUUUAUAUGUAUUUUACUUAUUCAAACUCUCACUAUCAAUAUUGUACAUUUGUUUAUUUUUGGUCUUCAUAUUAACCCUAGUAUAGCCUUGCUAAACUAAAUUUUGAAAAUUAUUAUAGUAAGGUGUUUGUUUCCUCACCUCAUAUAUUUACAUCAUAUGCAUAAAAAUUAUGUUAAAUGAAUCAACAAUAUUUUUUUUAUUUAUUUUUAAGAGAGCUAGUUAUUUGGGGCCGCUAAAGCCUACUUCAAAAUUAGGCAAAUCAAAAGAAGGAAGUGUACUAUCAACAAGUAAAAAUGUCAACCUACUCUAAAAAGUUUGGACAAUUUUUAAAGAUAACUGAAAUACUAGAGACAUUAGUAAAUAUUGCGUGAAUCACUUAAUAAAUCGAAAAACAUAAUAUUUUGGAGAUAGUUUUACUAAAAUAUUUUUAACAAUAAACUUGAAUGUUGUACAUAUUUAUUGAAUUGUGGGUAUAGAGACAAUUUUUAGCUUUUUUUCUGAUUUAACAAUAUAUUAAUCGCGAAAGAAGUCAUGUGUUCUUAAUAAAUAAUCGCUAAUGGCAAUUAUUUGCUGCUAAAAAUUCUUCCUCUAAUAAACUUAUUUACACUUUUAGCGUUUAAGACGCAAUGUCCAUCUUAAACUAAUAAUAUUUGGGAAAAAAAAAGGAGGAAAUAAAUUAAACUCAAUUGGGGGAUAACAAUUUUCUUUUAAUUAGUAUGUUAUAUAUACAUUAUUUCAAUUAUACUUUCGAGUUUUUGAUAUACGAAAAUAUAAUGUCAAACUUUAAGAGCAAGAAUUUACAAAAUGAGAACGACUUUUUUUUAAAAUAUAAUGUCCAAACUUUAAAUGACAAGAUUUACAAACCAUGAGACCGACCUUUUUUUUUAUUAUAACGUUUUUUUAUAUAUUAUAUAUAUACAUACACACACACAUCUAUAUCCAUAAUAUCAUUGACUCUUAUUAUAGAUAGGAAAGAGGUUUAAAAUAUAUCAUUGAAACUUUCGAAAAAAACUCAUGUUAUUCAUCAGUUUAAAAGUUUGGUCUCAUUUAUGCCAUUAACCUGUUUAAAAAGAUUCAUUUCUUGCCAUUAUUUUUUAUAAUGGUUUUCGCAAAACCAUUUUUAAUACGUGACCAAUUUAACUCGGCUACGUCCUCCCAUUUAUUUAAUUAAAAAUCAUCAUUCUAAAAAAAAUUGCAUUCAUUUUUUUUUUGAUUUUUUUAUUAAUAUUUGAUGAAUGGCAAUUGAAUUCAGUGGAUUUUCUUAAUUUGGGCGGGUCUUUUAUUUGAGUGGGGUUUUAUUUAUGUUUUUCUUCAGAAUUGAUAUCAAAAAAAAAUAAAAAAUGAUGUGGCCGAAUCAUAACUUUGUCACGUGGUGAAAAGGGUUGGGCCAAAUCGCGCCGUUAAAAACUAAUGGCAGAAAUGAGUCUUUUUCCUAAAUGGUAAUAACAUGAACGAGUUCAAACUUUUAACGGAUCACAUAAUGAAGAUCUUUUCUAAAAGUUCAACCGGCAUAUUUGAGCUUUUUCCCUUAUUUAAAAAAAGUGCUUACAUAACACUCAUUUAUUACAUAAAUAUUUCUAAAAUAUACCAUUUUUUCUAACGGGAGUGAAAAAAAUAUUUUUUUAAACAUAAUUUUUUCAUUUUUUUAAGAAAGUAAAAUCUUGAAUAUAUUAUCUUCCACUUUCUAGAAAUAUUUAUGCCUACAAGAUUUUUUUUUAUUUUUAAAAUUAAAAUUAAUAUUUUCACUUCCAUUAGAUUGAUGAAGAUAUAUCUGAAUCACUUUUUAUAAAAUGGUAAGGAUAUGUAUGAACUCUUAUUUAAUCAAAAUGUGAAUUAUUUUUAUAAUGAGCGAUAUAAAAAUUUUAAUUGCAAAGUUAUGAAGACUUUUUAUUUAGGGAAAAGGGUCUGAUAUACCCCUCAACUUUCAUUUAGAGCUGAUAUGGCCCUUGUGUGAAAGUGGCAUCAUAUAUACAUUAGCUUGUAAAACAAAUGGCUCACAUAUACCCUUUCCUCUAACGGAAAUGGAAAAAAUAAUCUUUACUAAUUUUUUAAUAAUUUUUUUGUCUAAAAAUUAUAUCCCAUAUGAGUAAAUUUAAUCCGUCGUAAAACAUAUUUUUUUUAAACCUUUUUUUAGUUUCAAAUGACUAUUUAUAAUUAUUAUUUUGGAUAAUCAAAUUUAUUUAUGUUUCACUAAUAUUCUUGUAAAGACUUAUUGUUAGAUGAACCAAUUUUUUCUUCGAUACCGAAUUAAAAUUACAAUACAGCACAAAAAAUAGUUUAAAUUUUUUCUCUUUAAACUAAGGAAUUGGAACAGAAAACAUAAGAAUAGAAAACUCAAAUAAUUAUAAUAAAAAAGUCAAAAAAUAAUUUAUAUAAUGAACAAAUAAAUAUCGCUGAACUUUUGAUAGAAGAAUCAUAUAUAUCCCUAAAUAAUUUUUUUAAAAAAUUAAGUAAUAAAUAUGCCAAUUUAAACUAAUUUUUUUAACUUCCGUUAAAUGAAGUGGUAUAUAUGAAGCCAUUUUGUAACGUGGAGGGGUAUAUGUGAGCGCAGCCGUUUGUAUACACGGUAAGGGCAAUAUAUGAAGCACUUUUAUAACGGGGGCGUAUUAUUAGCUCAAUAAACAAAGUUGAGGAGUAAUAUCAGACCUUUUUCUUUUAUUUAUUGUAUAAAAGCUUUCAUAUACUAGUUACAUAUUUAAAUAUUGAAAAUGUUGAUAAGAGAUACCCAUUAAAUGCUAAAGUAAUUGGUAUUGUUAAAAAAUUUCCUUUUAUUUUAUUGUAAUAUAUCUAACAUCCUCGUACUUCACUAACUAAGAAUAAAACUAAGAAUCAAGAAUAAUCAUUUUUUUUGGAAAUAAAUAGGAAAUUCCUGAAAAAUUUACCAGUUGUAAAAAGUGAGUUUUUGGUCAAUCUUCAAACGACCAUAACUCCCAGCUUAGGAGGACGUUUAGGUGUGAGUUCCUUAUUGGUUGGAAAUCCCUUGGAAAGAAAUUUCCAAACGCCAAGUUUGUACAUUUUAAGAUGUGCGUAUGAAGGAGAUAUGAUUUCGAAAGUUUUGGUUUGUUGGAGUGAGGAAAAUUCAAUCCGGAUUUAGUAGGAUAAAGUAGUCUUUUCACUCUAUAUUUCUAAUUCGUUUUUAAAGGGUUUUAUUAGGGGUAAAUCAAGUCCAUAUUCAGUUUUGAAACAGUUGAGAACGCUCAUGGCUUGGGAGAAAAGAGAGAGACCAAAUUUCUUCAAAGAAGCUCAGGUUUCGCUAGAGGAAUUCAUCGGGGGUGAUCUCUAUUCGAGGUAUAAUGAGUAUCUUUCUUAUGUUGGUCGUUCACCCCACACACCACUGUUUUAUUUAGACAAUUUUUGUAUUGAUUGAAUAAUGAAUCUUGAAGUUCUUGAUGAGCCAAUUGUUGAUCCUUAUUGGUAGAGUUGUAAGUGUCUUUAGUUGGUGUUGUUCGUAUUUUCAGGCUGUUUUACGAGUCUAACUAUUGGGUAAUGAGUUAGUAUUAGUGAUUGAUACGCUCAAACUUACUUUUUAAAUAAGAAGUAAGCAGUAAAUGGGGUUUCUAUCUCCUAAAUAAAUGAAAAUACUAAAGCGAAAUUAAGGGGACAACUAACCUUCGAUGUUGGAGUUUAAUCACUUAAUCAAAGUAACUAGGGUUUACGUGUUUCCCCCCACAGGUUUCAUAACUUGAUAAUUCUAAAUAUAACAUUCUUUUCUUUUCUUGUAUCUUGCAUUUGCAAGUGAUAAGUUAUGUAUUUCUAAAUCCUUGGUCGCGGCAUCUAGAAAAUUUUCACUCGGCAACCGGUUGGUCCGACUACGUGUGGUUUUCGCUAUAAUAACCCUUAUUAUUUACCUCAUAUUAAGCAUCCGUAUUCGUAUUUGACUAAGUUAUUACCCCGUACCAAUAAUAUCAGCCCUAUUACGAUAGUAUACACUAAAUUUAUUAUUGGAUAAUUUUUCUAUUUCUUCUCUCUUGGUCCGACAAGUAGCAUUAAAGCGCGAGUUCCUAACGUUGGCCAUCCGUUAAAGACUUCCAAGCGAAAGAAUUAUCAAUACAUGCAAGACACUAUUCUAGAAUUGUUAUUUUUACGUUGAUUUUACUCAUUAUUCGCCUAUGGUUCCCAACUACCCUAAUUAUGGAGUUUAGUUACCAUAAUCAUAAUCAAAUAAUUCCAAAUAUAUGAUAUAAGAAUUCAUGCACUUACUUCAAUGAGAAAGAGUUAAAGAUCAAAAGUUACGCUUGUUAUCACAAUCAAUUACAAGAAUAUAAAUAUCAGAAUCUCACAAAAAGUCCUAAAAAAUAAUCAAAGAGUCUAACAAUAAUCAAGGGCUAUACCAAUAAUCCAGAGUCUACCUCAAAAACGAGGUUUUUUCAAACUAUUUAUAAAUAAAACUAAUUACAUAAGGACUCUAUUUUGCUGGAAAUCUGUCAAACGCGGCUGGGUUCAACGGACCUCGGCGACGGAGCGUCGUGGUCACGACGGCUCCGUCAUGGAACGACGGACCGUCAGUGGAUCCGUCGUCCGCAUACCUUGAUGCAAUUUCUUAUGCUGCUCUCGCUCUUCAUUACCCUCGACGCAAGGUUGAUGGAUCGUUACAGGCACAACGAUCCGUCGAGGGUCUCCGUUCAAAACACUUGAACUCUUGGACAUAUGGGUACUGGGACUACUUCUCUGAACUUAUGCGAUGACUGCAGGACGGACCGUCAUGGAUACGACGGUGUCACGCAUUUUGUUAAACCCCACCCUUGGUCAGACUUCCCAUUUUUCGCUUCAGGCAGUGCUACGUUGGCCACCUACGGACCGUCACGAGCAUGACGGACCCGUCACAUAGGCAUGACGGAACGUCACAAGCAUGACUGGACCGUCACAGCAUGAGGACGGUCACAAGCUCCGUAGGUGGUCUCUUCUGCUAUUCUUUGCUCAAAACCUCCGCAUUCAAUUUUUGGCUAGAUUUCCUGAAAUAAGGAGAAACUUAUAUAAACAUUAGCAGCAAAAAGAAUUUUUUGGACAGCACUAACUUAAGGAAAAAAUAUUAAAUAAUACGUGAACCAUAGUAUAUCAGUGAUGCCUAAAGUUGUUUGGGAUAAAUCAUGAAUGUUUUGCAGGUUUAGGUUGAAAAUGCGGAGAAGAAAAGUCAGAAAACUCGUUGACAGGUCUUGUGGCAAUUCCGUGCUACAAGAGCCCUCAGGACAGACUCUUUCUGUCAGGCUCUGGCGCGCCGCCGUGCAGCUAGAGCGGCCUGAAGACAGUGUCUGUCGUCAGGCUCUGGUGCCCCGCGCCUCUCAGAGCGCAAGGGUCAGCCUGGUGAUUCCUUAUUCUCUCUCACCAUCUUUUCGUACGAGUUCCUAAGUGACGGUUCUAUUAUUUCUAGUUCGUUCCAAUAACUCUAAGUAAAUAUAAAACAUUAUGAAAUCAAUCCUAUAAUGAAUCAGGAUCGUGAAUUUUUGCAUAAUCCAAUCAAGGGAAGUUAAGAUCAAGUCAAAAAAGUUUAAGAGUCAAGUUAAAAGUUAUAAAAAACAGUUCAAAGUAGUUCCUAAAGCAUUCAAGAGUUUUAACAAACAUUUUACUUUGUUUUAAGGAUUCAAGCAUGAGUUGAGCAAAAGAGUAAAAGAGUUGAGUUAAAUUUUCAAAAGCUAUAAGGGAACUAGUAUUCCCUAAGAGUUAGUUUUCAAGUUAAAGCAAAUAGUAACAAGUUCGAGGUUCAGCUUCUCAAGAGUAGAAGGGAACUAAGUAGUCUCUUAACAGUUUAACAAGAAUGUUUUUCAACUUUUGAGAAGAAAGGAAGCUAAGACUUCCACAGAGCCUAUGAAUGUUUUAGUUAAAAGAAAAAGGAAACUAUGAUUUCUAAGAAAGUUUUUGAAGCAAAGUUUGAGAAAUUCAUCUCAAACUAGCAGAAGCAAGUUGUUUUAAAAAAACAUAUGAGCUAAGUAUUUUGGGAGUAGUAUUGAGCACGAUAUGGUGAGCGCGAGUUCAUAUUAACGUCAAGUCUCCAUAAACCAUUGAGCAACAUGGGAUAUAAAAGAUAUACUUUUAGAUGAUUCGCUUAGUAUUUUAGCAUAGAUAGUGUGAUCCUCUUAGUAGUUUCAAGGUUCUAUACGACGACAAGGUAUAGAGUGGUCCUCUUGCAACAUGAGGUAAUACGUUUGUAACCAUCACUUAGCUCAUACGAUGGUUGUCCGUUAGAUAAAUCUCUCAAAGAAAUUAUAAUACUUUCAAAUUAUAUGAGUAAAGUUGAGUUUUUUAUUGAUUUAUCUUUAAUGACUAAGUGUUUACCUGUUUUUUCAAGCUUUUCUUUUAAUAUCGCCAUGUGAUCCUAUACUGGCUUUAUAUUGAGUCGUUAUUAAUUGAAGUUGAGCAGGAACCAGGUAAGUUGCUUCCUUACUCCUUUCAAGCCUUAUAGUAGUGUUUAGGUAUUGCCAUUACGCAUACAUCGUUUGGCUGCAUGCAUAGUCUUUAAUGCCAGAAGCAGGGUAAUUAGGAUCAACAUGCAGCACUCUUGUUGAACCAGUUUGAGGCUCUAGAGUCAAGUGGUCGAGCCUCAUGCAUUCGGAGGAUCCUUUUUAUUGCUAUCUAGUUAGUUCAAUAGAUGUUGUGGGGUUUGUCCCAACAUUCAUCUCAGUCAGUUAGAGGGUUUCAUAUGACGGAUAGUAGUAGUUAGUUGUUCUCUUUUAUUUCAGAUUCUAUUAUUUGAGACUUAGUGCAAAUUUUGGCCAAGGACAGUAUUUAAAGUCAUUUUUAUGAGAGUUCUUGCAUUCUAUAGACUGAAUUAAGUUGAGUCUUCUGUGAGUUAAGUAGUCAGACCACGAGUUCCCUUGAGGGCGCAGCAUGGUCACCAGUGCUAGUCCAACCCAGGGUAUAAAUGCUCGGAGCAUGCUAAUAUAUGCAUUUUUCAUAUACGACUUACGUAUUCAGAUACUUUUAACAUUUUGUUUAGAGCAGAAGAGUCUUAACUUAUUAUGCUAGGUGAAGUAUUGAUAUAUUGGGAUAUUGGUACUUAUUAUUAUGUUUACUUUAAUCUUAUUUAUAAGUUACAACACACGUAAGCACACACAAGGUGCUCAACAUGUGUGCUUGAAGUAAAAUUAAUUUUGAAUGAGGUUUAAUUUGGUCUUUUAUAUAAUACUCAAUGAUUUUCGCUUUUUUACCAACUUUUAAAACACACUUGUAAAAAUGCAAAAUUGCUUUUAUGGACAUCAAAUGACCAAAAACCGCGCGAGUAUCCUUUAACCUCAUUGUAUAUGUUAUAGAACAUUGCAAUUGGUUGAAACUGAACUUUAAAUGUAAGUUGCAAUUUAUUAUUUUUCUUCUUGUCUAAAACUGCCCUAUGCGGCUUAAGCUUUAUUUUUAUCAACUAUUUGUUUAUUAGUGGAGAAAUAGCUCUUUAGAUGAGUCCUUUUAAGCGGUACCGCGAGCUAGGAUAUUAAUAUAUGUCUUUUCGUUUUAUUUUAUGUCAUUUGUUACUAAAAAUAGGUAAUAUUAAUAUUUAUCAUUUCACAAGUAAUGGUAAUCAUUAUAUAGUAAUGAAAUCGACGUCUCUGAACUCUGUGACGGACGUCAGGUACGACGAACGUCGUGAGCCCGUUUCAAAACACUUCAACUCUUGAGAAUUUUGGUACAGGGAACGAUUCUCCUGAAACGUCAUGACGGAGGUGCAGGACGGACCGUCGAGGUCGAUGGCCGUCACAGAUCCUUAAGUGAAUCGAAGUCCUUUGACGAACCUGCAUGACGGCCGUCGCAGGCACGACGGGCCCGUGCGCAGGUUGGCAUCAGUCUAAGGUCAGAUUUCUUUACACAUUUUAAGGGACGUUUUUGACUAUUCCUUCUUUAAUUUAAAGUUAGUGGUUAAUGUUAAUUAAGUUAAUUACUUGGGUUGGUUAAAGGGUUAAACCUCAAGUUUAAAUUAGUGGGUUAUUAUUGCAUCUUUCAUUCUUAAUUAUAUACUAAUUGGUAAAAGAAAGGGGUUUUGAAUAAAGAAAAUAGAAGAACACAUAAGAGGAGGGGAGAUAUCGAACGAGAAGGGAUAAAAGAAGAGGAGAACACAAAGCUUGGGAAAUUGGCUUGCUUGGAUUUCUUGUUUCGGUGGAGGUAGGUUUUGGUUUUCAUGGCCUAUUCGUAGUAAACUUUAAUAGCGAAUGAUUGUGUUAGUAGUAUUGUAAACCCUUCUAAUUGCUUAAUUGUAAUGCUUGCCAUGAAUGAUGUGAUUAUCGGAAUUAUUGAAUAAAUAAGCAUGAUGAAGUUAUGGAAUCCGCAAUCUUGAAAAGAACCCUAAUUACUUUGUUAUGAUGAUGCCUGGUAAUAAAAGAAGGCUUGAUGAAGCGAAAGGGGUGAGAACAUAAAUCAAAUGGAGUGAGCUCAAAUUUAGUGAAUUUUUUUUUAAAAAAUAUUUUGUUGUUUAACAAUUUUUAAAAUGAAAAUGCUAAACCUUUUUCACAAUUAUGUUUUAUAGUUUUUUUAUCAAUAUCUAGUCGAUGAUAACCAUAAUUUUAAUAUAAAUAAUAUAAUAAGGUAACUUAAUUCUGAAAUUCAAGUAUUGAUAUUUUUGAGAAAAUAUUUAUUUAUAAAUUGUAAAACAUUCAUAAUCUAAUAUUUAAUAUGUUUCUUACUCUCAACGAAUGACACUAAUUCAUCAUGAUUCAAAAUUGUAAGAAGUAAAAAUCAAUACUAAAAAGUGCAACUCAUUAUUAUAUGAAGUUUAAUAUGUAGUUUAUCUAUUGUCGAAAGUUUUCCAAGUAUAUGAUAUAUAAUUCUAUGAUAAAUUAAUUUUUGAUCCCAUAUAUUUAUACUAUUUUCAAAUUUAUCCCGUUAAUUGAUUAUAUAUUUUCUUAAACUACAAUUACGCGAUCAUUAUUUAUCAAUUCUACUUUAUCAACUUUAUAUUCUUCUUUUUAUAUCUUUAGAAUUGUGCUAUUUUUGUUUUCUUAUUUAAGUUACAAUUUUAAAGAUAAAAUAAAUAUUUUUGGAGAUAAAAUAAGUUAAAUAAAAAACUAUAUGAAUACUUAUGUUGAAAAAAAAUAUAUAUAAUUAAAAAAUUGUCCUAUUUUUAUUUUCUUAUUUAAGUCACAAUUUUUAAAGAUAAGAUAAAUAUUAUUUUGAGAUAAAAUAAGUUAAAUAAAACUAUAUGAAUACUUUUGUUUAGAAACAUUAUAUAUAAUUAAAAAAAUUACAUAUAUGAAAGAUUUUAUAAAUUAUACUGGUUAUGUUGUAGUAGUAAUAAACAUAGAUGAACAAUUUGUAUUGUCAAGAGUAUAAAAAUAAAAAUAUUUUUCACAUUAUUAUUAUAUCAAACAAAUACAAAUUGAUUUUCAAAAAGAAUAAUAAAAUGUAUUUGUGGGUCACACAUGAAACAAAAAUAUGUGAUUCUUGAAAAAAAAAUAAUAGAUUCUUCUAGAAAACUAUUUUGACAAUUAAUUAUACAAUUAUAAAUUUAAAACUUAACCCAUAAAAAUAAUUAAAAUUACAAAAUUGUCAUUGAUUGGCCUCAUCAUGACUCUUAUGUAUAAUAGAAACUAGAUAAUUGAAGGCCCGUUCAUGGGCUCAAUAUAAUUAAUUAUUUUUUUCAAUUUUAAGUUAAAAAAAUUAUCCAAAUUAAUAUCUUAUUUUAUCAUAGUUUCUAAAAUUUUCUACUAUUUAAACAAUUACAAAAAUGUCCUCUAAGAUACAUUCUUAUCCUCUGUCGGACACAUCAGUAUCUCCUCUCGAAUACAUUCCUAUCAUUUCUUGAAUACAUCUUUAUCUCAUCCUGAAACAUCCAUAUCCUCUCUGGGAUACAUCUCUCCCCUUUCGGAUACAUUCAUUCUCUCUCGAAUACAUCCCUACCUUCUCGAAAUCAUCGUGAGCUCUAUGUCUGCAAGUUUCCUCAAUAGCAAUGUAUCACGAUCGAUGUAUCCGCAUGUGUUGAUUUAUCUGAAAUUAUUUAAUUUUAAAAAGAUUUCGUAAUUUGAAAAAAGUAGGAAUAUAAUGUAAUUAACUCUUUACUCUAUGACAUAUUUUUCUUUGUAGUCAGUUUCAAAAGAAUGAUGUAUAACAUAUUUAAAUAACAUUUUGACUUUAAAAUAUUCAUUCUAUUCUUAGUAAUAUUAUUUAUAGUCAUAUGAACAUCUAUGGUUUGUUUUAGACCAUGAGUUUUAGAAGUGUUUUUUCUUUUAAAAAUUUUCGUGUUAAGUUAAAUUAAAAUUCCAUAAACCGAAAGGGAGUGAGUACAAACUUUAGAUCAAUUUUAUAUUUAUAAAAUUAAAGUUUUUGUAACUAUUUUGUCUUUUAACAAAAUUUAAAAUGAAAUAAUUCACAAUUAUUUUUAUAGUAUUUUUUUAAAAUCAAUAUUCUAUCAAUAAUAAUAAAUUUUUUUUAAUUUAAAUAAGAUAAUAAAGUAUUUUAAUUUUGAAAUUCAUGUAUUGAUAUCAAUUGAGAAAAUAUUUAAUUUUAAGUUGUAAAACAUUCAUAAUCUAAUAUUUAAUGUGCUCCUUACUCUCGAUGAAUGACACUAAUUUAUAAUAAUUCAAGAUUGCAAGAAGUAGAAAUCGAGACUAAAACGUGCAACUCACUAUUAUAUGAAGGUCACUAUGUAAUUUAUCUAUUGUGGAAGUCUCAUUAGUAUAUGAUAGAUAAUUCUAUGCCAAAUUAAUUUUUGUUUUCAUAUAUUUAUACAAUUUCAAAAUUUAUCCCGUUAAUUGGUUAUGUAUUUUAUUAAACUACAACUGCACUCAUUAUUUCAUCUUUUUUUUUUAUUCUUACAUUAUCAACUCUAUUUUUUUAUCUCUUUAGAAUUGUGAUACUUUUGUUUUCUUAUUUAAAUCACAAUGUUUUAAAGAUAAAACAAAUUUUAUUUUGGAGAUUAAAUAAAUAUUAUUUUGAAGAUAAAAUAAAAAAAAGAUUUACUAACCUACAACCAGGAAGAUCCACUUUGAAACCCAGCGACGAAGAAAACUUUGAAACUCUUAGCCGCGAAAUGAGGGUGAAAGAGUAAAAUCAUUUCUGGAAAAUAAUGAAACGAGGGGGAAAAAAGCGUAAUAAAGAUUUAAGGAAUUAGUCUAUGUGGUAGUGGACCCUAUUGACAUGCAAUAUGGAAUUCACAUAGCAUUUAACAACUUCUCUUAAUUAGAAGGGCAAUUUUGACCCAAUAGUUUCACGGAAAGGGUACUUUUGAGCCGAAAUAUACUUUAAGGGUAAAUAUGAGUUAUUUCAGAUAGUUUAAAAGUAUUUUUUACCCUUUUACUUUUAGUCUACGUGGUAGUGGAACCCUAUUGACGUGCAAUGUGAUGGCAUUUAACAACUUCCAUUAAUAAGAAUUGCACUUUUGACACAAUAGUUUGACGGGGAGGAGAGUUUUGAGCGGAAAUAUAAUUUAAGGUAAAUAUGAAAUAUUUCAGAUAGUUUAAGGAUAUCUUUGACCCUUUUAUGUUAAAACUAUAUGAAUACUUAUGUCUAAAAAACAUUGUAUAAAAUUAAAAGGAAAUUAAAUCAUGGAAGAUGGUAGGUUAUACUGAAUAUGUUGUAGUAACAACAAACAUAUAUAAACUAUUAAGUUGUAUAAAUAUUUUUUAUUUAUUAUAAUCAAACAAAUAAAAGUUAAUUUUUAAAAAUUAAAUAAAAUGAUUACAUGGAGUCACCAUGAAACAAAACUUUUUGUGACUCUUGAAAAAGAUUAUUGGAUACUUCUAGAAAAUUAUUUUGACCACUGAUUAUGCAAUUAUAAAGUUGUAAUUUUGCCCAUAAAUAAUGUUUAAAAUUACAAUAUUGUCAUUGGUCAUCCUAAUCAUGACUCUUCUAUAUAAUAGAAAUAAUAAUAACUAGAUAUCAGGUGCCCGUGCUAACGCAAACGCAACGUAUGUUAGAUUUUUCUUCUUCCAAUUUAUGUGACAAAAAUGAAAUUUGAAAAAAAUGAACUAAAUUUUUUAUAUGUGUUUUUUUUAAAAAUAUUUUAAAUUAUUAAUUUAUGUAUCUUUUUUGUCAUUUUCGAAUAAUAUAUGUUACUUUAUCUAUUUUAUUUUAUAUGAUACAAGUGAUUUUAGGAAAGUAAACGAAAUUUCUUAUAUGAUUUUCAUAUAUUUUUAGUUGUCAUUUUACUGCGAUUCAUAGUACUUUUUAGUUAUUACGUUAUUUUCAAACAAUAUAUGCAACUUUUUUUUUGUUUCAAUAAAAAUAAGGGAGUCAACAAAAUUUCAUUAUGUUUUUUCAACUACAUUUUUCUAAAAAUAUUUUAAAUUGUUACAUUGCUUUUUAAAGUUUUUUUAAAUGUAACUUUCAAAUAUGUAACAAAUUAGAAAUUAAAACGAAGAAUUAAAGUUUUCAAAUCAUUAUAUUUCUAUAUUAGAAUAUUAAAACCUUUAAAACUACAUAUAUAUGCAUAAAUUAGUAGAAGGAAGCCUAACAACUUAUUUUUAAAAAAAUAUAUGAGAGCUCAUUUUAAUAGUAAUACAUACAUAUUUCAUUUUUCAAUAUCCGAAUCCCUCCUUUUCGAUUUAUAUAAAUUUAAUUUAAUUUAAUUUUUAUUUUGUUUCAAAAAGAAAAUAACUUCUGAAUUUUAUUUGUUUAUAAAGCAUAUUUAAGAUCACAAAAUCAAAAAAAAAUUUCAAUUCACAAAAUUUAAAUAUACAUAUAAAUUUUAAUUUUAAUUUUGAUUGGUUCCACCUAAUAUUAUACUUGAUAUAUAAUUAUUAAGAGCUAAGCGUAAUCAUUAUCUAUUUACUUUCGUAUAAUAAAUAGAUAUCACAAUAACUCUUAAAAAAUGAAGAAAUAACGAAAAUGAGGUAAUACUAAUAAUAAUCACUAAAGAUUUUCUAGAACUAGUUAAAUUUCUUGUUAUCAAUCGUGUUAGUUUUUUGCUUGCAUAAAUUACAUUUUUACCUUCGAUCAUCAUUCACUUCAUAUAUAGAAAGAUGUUUCUAGAAUUAUUUAUUCUUGAUAAAUUUUUGUUAGAAUGAAAUUACAUUUUAUUCUUAGUCGUCUUUAAUACAAAGUAUCAUCCUAUUCAUUUUUUAUUUGUCAAGUUACUUUUUAAGAUCUUUUUCUUUAAUUUCAGUCUAAUAUAUAUUAUUAAUUUAUCACACUUAUUUAUUUUCAAGUAUAUUAUUAGAGUCAAAAUAAAGAUGAAAAUAAUUAAUUCAUGAUAACUUUUUAUAUAAAAAGUAGGCAUAUAUUAUAAGCAUAAUGAAUAGAAAAAAAUAUUAAGAAUUAAUUUAAAGUAAUAGUAAAGUAGAGUAAUUAUAAAAUAGAUAUCACAAUAACUCACAAAAGAAAAGAAAGUGAAGUGAUAACAAAAUAAGUUAAUGGUAAUAAUAAUAACUUAAAAUAUUUCUAGAACUAUUAUUUUUAUUUUUUUUUGUUAUCAUUCUUCAUAGAUUUUUGUUAGCAUGAAAUUAUAUUUUUGCUGUAACGACCUAUUUAGUCGUUUGGAGCAGCAGAGUUAAUUUCUGAAAAUCACUGUCUGGGUCGACGGAUCCCACGACAGACCGUCAUGGGCACGACGGACCGUCGAGGGUGUCUCGUGCCAAAACACUUAGAAUUUAGAAAUUUGGGUACUGAGAUCGACUCUCUGAACUUCACGACGAAAUGGCAGGACGGACCGUUGAGGGCUCGACGGACCGUCACAAAUCCUUCCGCAGAAUUAACUCUCUGAACCUUGUGACGGACGUGCAGGACGGACCGUCACAGGCUGCGUGACCCUGACUGGGUCGGAUUUCUGUUAAAUAUUUUAAGGGGCGUUUUGGACUAUUCCUACUUAUAAUUAUAAAGUUAGUGGUUUAAUGUUAAUAAUUUAAUUACUUGGGGGUUAAAAGAGAGAACCUUGAAACAAAUAGUGGGAUAUUUUAUCAUCUUUUAUACUUAAUUAUAUGCUAAUUAGGGUAAAAGAAAGAGGGUUUGAAUAAGAAAAAGAAAAAGAACAGAGAGAGAGGGAGAAACGAUCGAUUGAGAGAGAAGAAGAACGCAGCUUUGGGAAAGUAGAUUGCUUGAUCACAAUCCUUCGGUGGAGGUAGGUUAUGGUUUAUGCUAUUCGUAGUAAACUCUUAAUAGCGAAUGAUAUGUAUUGGGUAGUGUUGUAAACCCUUCUAUAUGCUUAAUUGUAUGCUUGCAUGAAUGUGAUUAUAUAAUUGUGAUAAAAUAAGCAUGAUGAAGCUAUUGAAUCCUAAAUCUUGAAAAUCCUAAUCUACUUUGUUAAUGAUGAUGCCUUGGUAUAAAAGAAGGCUUGAUGAACGAAAGUAGUAAGAUUAGGGGAUCGGAGUGUCACGUUCCGACACCAGGAUAGUAUAUGGAUCGGGUGCCACGUUCCGGUACCAGGAUAGUAUAUGAGGAUCGGAGUGUCACGUUCCGACACCAGGAUAGUAUAUGGAUCGGGUGCCACGUUCCGGUACCAGGAUAGUAUAUGAGGAUCGGAGUGCCACGUUCCGGUACAAGGAUAGUAUAUGAGGAUCGGAGUGUCACGUUCCGACACCAGGAUAGUAUAUGGAUCGGGUGCCACGUUCCGGUACCAGGAUAGUAUGAUGAGGAUCGGAGUGUCACGUUCGGACACCAGGAUAGUAUAUGGAUCGGGGUGUCACGUACCGACACGAGAGAAAUAAAGAUAAUGAAUCUUGAAAGAUGUUAAUAUACUCAAUUUAAUGAACCUAAUUCCCAAAUGAGUAUGAUGGGGAGGCGUGAGUCCUCAUUGAUGUGCUUGGUGUUGUGACCAAGAGUUAUGAUAAUUAUAAAUGCCGCAUGUUGAGUAUUGUAGUUGAUUUUAUGAUAUAUAUCAUAUUAUCUGAUAUAUACUAUUUUCUAUUUUGAGUUGGCCGAUGAUAUCUACUCAGUACUCGUGUUUUGUACUGACCCCUACUUGUAAUUGUUUUUCUUUGUUAUUUGUGGAGUGCAGCAAACGUACCGUCGUCUUCAACUCAACCGCAACUCUAGCCAGUCUUCAUUACACCGGAUUUCAGGGUGAGCUAACGCUUCUAGCUUGGACUGGAUCUUCUUCUUCAUGUCUUGAUGCCUUGAAGUUCCGGCAUGGACUAGCUUUUUAUUUAUUCUAGCUUUCUAGAUACUCUUAGAAUUAGUAAUUUAAGGAUAGAUGUUCUUGUGAUGAUGACUUCCAGAUUUUGGGAAUAAUAAGUAUUGAGUUUUUAGAAGUUAUUUAACCGAUUUUCAUUAAUGAGUUUAAGUCUUCCGCAUUAUAUUCUGUUUAUUAUGGUUCAAAUGUUGGGGUUUAGAUUGGUUGGUUCGCUCACAUAGGAGGGUAAGUGUGGGUGCCACUCGCGGCCCGCUUUGGGUCGUGACAUUUGCCCUUGAUUAUUAUUUACUUCAUAUAUAGAAAGAUGUUUCUAGUAUUAUCAAUUAUCUUGCUUAAUAGAUUUUUGUUAGCGUGAAAUUACAUUUUUGCCCUUAAUCGUCCUCCCACUUCACUCUUCUAUAUAAUUGAAUAGAAAUACAUUAUAUAAAAUAAAUAUUUAUAAAUGAUUAUAAGUUUUCUAUAUCCUUUUUAUAGUGAUUAAUUUACAAUAGGUAAAUGGAUAUGUAUGGGUAAUAAAAUAUAUAUGAGAAUAGUAAUUUAAUUGUGAUAUAUGGCAAAUUCAUCAAAUAGUCAGUCUCUAAUAAUUUAUAUAUUAGUAGUGAAGUAUAAUGUUAAAUUUUAAACGAGGAUUUACAUAACGUGAGAAAGACUUCUUUUCUUUUUUAUUUUCUCAAGAGAUUUUUACAUUUUAAAAUUAGUUUAUAACUUAACAUUAAAUUACUUUAUAUGUAUUUUACUUAUUCAAACUCUCACAUAAUUACUUGUACAUUUGUUUAUUUAUGGUCUUCAUAUAUAACCCCUAGUAUAGCCUUGCUAAACUAAAUUUUGAAAAUUAUUACUAGUAAGGUGUUUGUUUCCUCACCUCAUAUAUUUACAUCAUAUGCAUAAAAAUUAUGUAAAAUGAAUAACAUAUUUUUUUAUUUAUUUUUAAAGAGACUAGUUAUUUGGGGCCGCUAAAGCCUACUUCAAAAUUAGCAAAUCAAAAGAAAGGAAGUGUACCUAUCAACCAAGUAAAAAUGUCAACUACUUCUAAAAAGUUUGGACAAUUUUUAAGACUAUGAAAAUAUAGAGACAUAGUAAAAUAUUGCGUGAAUCACUUAAUAAAAUCGAAAACAUAAUAUAUUGGAGAUAGUUUUACUAAAAAUAAUUUUACAAUAAAAUUGAAAUGUGUACAUAUUUAUUGAAUUGUGGGUAUAGAGACAAUUUUUAAGCUUUUUUCUGAUUUACAUAUAUUAAAUCGCGAAAGAAGUCAUGUGUUCUUAAUAAAAUAAUCGCUAAUGGCAAUUAUAUUUGCUGCUAAAAUUCUUCCUCUAAAUAACUUAAUUUACACUUUUAGCGUUUAAGACGCAAUGUCCAUCUUAAACUAAUAAAUAUGAGAAAUAAAUAAACUCAAUUGGGGGAUAACAAUUUCUUAAUUAGUAUGUUAUAUAUACAUUAUUUCAAUUAUACUUUCGAGUUUUGAUAUUACGAAAAUAUAAUGUCAAACUUUAAAGACAAGAAUUUACAAAUGAGAACGACUUUUUUUUAAAAAUAUAAUGUCAAACUUUAAAGACAAGAAUUUACAAACCAUGAGAACGACUUUUUUUUAAUUAUACGUUUUAUUAUAUAUAUAUAUAUAUAUAUACAUACACACACACAUAUAUAUACAUAUAUCAUUGACUCUAUAUAUAUAAGAUAGGAAAGAGGUUAAAAUAUAUCAUUGAACUUUCAGAAAAAAACUCAUUUAUUCAUCAGUUAAAAGUUUGGCUCAUUUAUGCCAUUACCGUUUAAAAAAGAUUCAUUCUUGCCAUUAUUUUUUAAUAAUGGUUUCGCAAAACCAUUUUUAAUACGUGACCAAUUAUAAUUCGGCUACGUCCUCAAUUUAUUUAAUUAAAAAAUCAUCAUUCUAAAAAAAAUUGAAUUCAUUUUUUUUGAUUUUUUUAUUAAAUAAAUUGAUGACAUGGCUAAUUAGAAUUCAGUGGGAUUUCUUAAAUUUGGGCGGGUCUUUAUUUGAGUGGGGUUUUUAUUUAAUGUUUUCUCAGAAUUGAUUUUUUAUCAAAAAAAAAUAAAAAUGAUGUGGCCGAAUCAUAACUUGUCACGUGUGAAAAGUGGUUGGGCAAAAUCGCCGUUAAAAACUAAUGGCAUGAAUGAGUCUUUUCCUAAAUGGUAAUAACAUGAACGAGUCAAACUUUUAACGGAUGACAUAAAUGAGUCUUUUCUAAAAGUUCAACGGCAUAUUUGAGCUUUUUCACUUAUUAAAAAAGUGGCUUACAUACACUCAUAUUAUUACAUAAAUAUUCUAAAAUAUACCAUUUUGUUCUAACGGGAGUGAAAACAAAUAUUUUUUUAAACAUAAUUUUUUAUUUUUAAGAAGUAAAAUCUGAAUAUAUUAUCUUCCACUUUCCUAGAAAAUAUUAUCCUACAAGAUUUUUUAUUUUUAAAAAUUAAAAUUAAUAUUUUCACUUCCAUUAGAUGAUGAAGAUAUACCUGAAUCACUUUUAUAAUGGUAAGGAUAUGUAUGAACUCUUUUAAUUCAAAUGUGAAUUAUUUUAUAAUGAGCGAUAUAACAAUUUUAAAUUGCAAAGUUAUGAAGACCUUUUUAUUUAGGGAAAAGGGUCUGAUAUACCCCUCAACUUUGUCAUUUAGAGCUGAUAUGCCCCUUGUUGUGAAAGUGGCUCAUAUAUACCCUUACUUGUAAACAAAUGGCUCACAUAUACCCUUUUCCUCUAACGGAAAUGGAAAAAAAAAUAAUUUUAAUCUAAUUUUUUAAUAUUUUUUGUCUAAAAAUUAUAAUCCCAUAUGAGUAAAUUUAAUCCUCGUAAAACAUAUUUUUUUAACCUUUUUUAGUUUCAAUGACUAAUUUAUAAUUAUUAUUUUGAUAAUCAAAUUUAUUUAUGUUUCACUAAUAUUCUUGUAAAACUUAUUGUAGAUAACCAAAUUUUUUCUUCGAAUAUGAAAUUAAAUUACAAUACACACAAAAAAUAGUUUAAAUUUUUUCUCUUUAAACUAAGGAUUGAAAGAAAAAACAUAAGAAUAAGAAACUCAAAUAAUUAUAAUAAAAAAAGUCAAAAAAUAAUUUAUAUAUGAAAAAAAUCAAAAUAUACCUUGAACUUUGAUAGAAGAAUCAUAUAUAUCCCUAAAUAAUUUUUUAAAAAAAAUUACAAGUAAUAAAUAUCAAUUUAAAACUAAUUUUUUAACUUCCGUUAAAUGAAGGGUAUAUAUGAGCCAUUUUGUAACGGGAGGGGUAUAUGUGAGCCGUUUGUAUAACGGUAAGGGCAUAUAUGAGCCACUUUUAUAACGGGGGGUAUAUUAGCUCCAAAUAACAAAGUUGAGGGGUAUAUCAGACUCUUUUUCCUUUUAUUUAUUGUAUAAAAGCAUUUCAUAUACUAGUUACAUAUUUAAAUAUUGAAAAUGUUGAUAAGAGAUCCCAUUAAAUGCUAAAGUAUUGGUAUUUUAAAAAAAUUUCCUUUUAUUUAUUGUAUAUAUCUAACAUCUCGUAACUUCAAAUAACUAAGAAUAAACUAAGAAAUCAAGAAUAAUCAUUUUUGGAAAUAAAUAGGAAAUCUGAAAAAUUUCCCAAGUGUAAAAGUGAGUUUUUGGUCAAUUUCAAACGACCAUAACUCCCAGCUUAGGAGGAGUUAGUGUGAGUUCCUUAUAUGGUUGGAAAUCCCUUGGAAAGAAAUUUCCAACAACGCCAAGUUUGUACAUUUUAGAUGUCGUAUGAAGGAGAUAUGACUUUCGAAAGUUUGGUUGUUGGAGUGAGGAAAAUUCAAUCCGGAUUUAGUAAGGAUAAAGUAGUCUUUUCACCCUAGUAUUUUCUAAUUCGUUUUAAGGGUUUAUUAGGGGUAAAAUCAAGUCCAUAUUCAGUUUUGAAAAAGUUGAGAACGCUCAUGGCUUGGGAGAAAAGAGAAGAGAAGAGAAGAGAAAACCAAAAUUUCUUCAAGAACGCUAAGGUUUCGCUAGAGGAAUUCAUCGGGGGUGAUCUCUAUCGAGGUAUAUGAGAUCUUUCUAUGUUGGGUUCGUUCACCCACACACCAACAUGUUUAUUUAGCAAUUUUUGUAUUGAUUGAAUAAUGAAUCUUGAAGUUCUUGAUGAGCAAUUGUUGAAUCCUUAUUGGUAGAGUUGUAGUGUACCUUUAGUUGGUGUUGAUUCGUAUUUUCAGGCUGUUUUACGAGUCUAAACUAUUGGGUAUUGAGUAUAUUAGUGAUUGAUACGCUCAAACUUACUUUUUAAAUAAGAAGUAAAGCAGUAAAUGGGGGUUUCUAUUCCUAAAUAAAUGAAAAUAACUAGCGAAAUUAAAGGAGACAACUAACAACUUCGAAUGUUGGAGUUUAAUCACUUAAUCAAAGUAACUAGGGUUUACGUGUUCCCCACAGGUUCAUAACUUGAUAAUUCUAACUAUAACAAUUCUUUCCUAGUAUCUUGCAUGCAAAGUGAUAAGUUAUGUAUUUCUAAAUCCUUGGUCCGGCAUCUAGAAAAUUUCACUCGGCACCUUGGUCCGACUACGUGUGUUGCUAUACUAACCCUUAUAUUUACCUCAUAUUAAGCAUCGUAUUCGAUAUUUGACUAAGUUAUUACCCCGUACCAAUCAAUACUAGCCUAUUAGAUAGUAUACACUAAAUUUAUAUUGAUAAUUCUUUUCCUAUUAUCUACCUCCUUGGUCCGACAAGUAGCAUUAAGGCGAGUUCUAACGUUGGCCAUCCGUUAAAAAGACUUCCAAGCGAAAGAAUUAUCAAUACAUGCAAGACACUAUUCUAGAAUUGUUAUUUUAGUUAGAUUUUACCUCAUUAUUCGCCUAUGGUUCCCACAACCCUAAUUAUGGAGUUUAGUUACCCAUAAUCAUAAUCACAAUAUUCAAAUAUAUGAUAUAAGAAUUCAUGCACUUACUUCAAUGAGAAAGAGUAAAAUCCAAAAGUUAGCUUGAUUAAUCAACAAUCAAUUACAAGAAUAUCAAAAUAAUCAAGAAUCUCACAAAAAGUCUAAAAAAUAAUCAAGAGUCUAACAAUAAUCAAGGGCCUAACCAAAUAAUCCAGAGUCUAACCUCAAAAACGAGGUUUUUCAAACUAUUUAUAAAAAAUAAAAACCUAAUUACAUAAGGACUCUAUUUGCUGGAAAUCUGUCAAAACGCGGCUGGGUCAACGGACCUCGCGACGCAUCGUCGUGGUCACGACGGACCGUCAUGGACUCCGUCGUCCCAUACUUGAUGCAAUUUCUUAUGCUGCUCUCUUCAUUACUCUCGACAGCAGGUAUGAUGGAUCGUUACAGGCACAACGAUCCGUCGAGGGUCUCCGUUCCAAAACACUUGAACUCUUGGAAUAUGGGUACUGGGACUACUUCUCUGAACUUCAUGACGAACCUGCAGGACGGACCGUCAUGGAUACGACGGUCCGUCACGCAUUUUGUAACCCCACACUUGGUCAGACUUCCCCAUUUUCCUUCAGCAGCUGCACUACGUUGCCACCUACGGACCGUCACGAGCAUGACGGACCGUCACAAGCAUGACGGACCGUCACAAGCAUGACGGACCGUCACAAGCUCCGUAGGUGGUCUCUUCUGCAUUUCUUUGCUCAAAAACCUCCGCAUUCAUCUUUGGAUAGAUUUCCUGCAAAUAAGGAGAAACUUAUAUAAAAAUUAGCACAAAAAGAUUUUGGACACACUAACUUAAGGAAAAAAUAUUAAUAAUACCGUGACACCAUAGUAUAUCAGUGAUCCUAAGUGUUUGGGAAAAAUCCAUGAAUGUUUUGAAGGUUUAGAGUUGAAAAUCGGAGAAGAAAAGUCAGAAAACUCGUCUGACAGGUCUUGUGGCACCGUGCCUACAAGAGCCCCUCAGGACAGACUCUUUCUGUCAGGCUCUGGCGCGCCGCCGUGCCAGCUAGAGCGCCUGAAGACAGUGUCUGUCGGUCAGGCGCUGGUGCCCCGCGCCUCUCAGAGCGCCAGGGUCACCUGGAGAUUCUAUUUCUCUCCCAUCUUUUAGUACGAGUUCCUAAGUGACGUAUCUAUUAUUUCUAGUUAGUUCCAAUACUCUAAAGUAAAUAUAAACAUUAUGAAAUCAUCCAUAAUAAUGAGAUCAGGAUCCGUGAAUGCAUAAUCCAAUUCAAGGGAAGUUAAGAUCAAAGUCAAAAAAAGUUAAGAGUCAAGUCUAAAAGUUAAAAAACAAGUCAAAGUAAGUUCCUAAAGCAUUCAAGAGUCUUAAACAAACAUUUUAACUUUGUUUUAAGGUUCAAGCAAUGAGUUGAGCAAAGAGUAAAAGAGUUGAGUUAAAUUUUCAAAAGCUAUAAGGGAACUAAGUAUUCCCUAAGAGUUAAGUUUCAAGUUAAGCAAAUAGUAACAAGUUGAGUUCACUUCUCAAGAGUUAGAAGGGAACUAAGUAGUCUCUAACAGUUUAAACAAGAUGUUUUUAAACUUUUGAGAAAGAAAGGAAGCUAGACUUCCACAGAGCCUAUGACUAGUUUUAGUAAAAGAAAAAGGAAACUAUGAUUUCUAAGAAAGUUUUUGAAGCAAAGUUUGAGAAAUUAUCUCAAACUAGAGAAGAAGUUGUUUUAAAAAAACAUAUGAGCUAAGUAUUUUGGGAGUAGUAUUGAGCACCGAUAUGGUGACGCGAGUUCAUAUUAACUCAAGUCUCCAUAAACCAUUGAGCCAACAUGGAGAUAUAAAAGAUCAUACUUUUUAGAUGAUUCCUUAGUAAUUUUAGCAUAGACUAGUGAAUCCUCUUAGUAGUUCAGGUUCUAUAUCGACGACAAGGUAUAGAGUGGUCCUCUUGCAACAUGAGGUAAUACGUUGUACCAUCACUUAGGCUCAUAGAUGGUUGUCGGUUAGAUAAUCUCUCAAAGAAAUUAUAAUACUUUCAAAUAUAUGAGUAAAGUUGAGUUUAUUAUUGAUUUAUCUUUAAUGAACUAAGUGUUUACACUGUUUUACAAGCUUUUCUUAUAUCGCAUGUGUCCUUACUGCUUUAUAUUGAGUCGUUAUUUCAUGAGUUGAGCAGAACCAAGGUAAGUUCUUCCUUACUCCUUUCAAGCCUUAUAGUAGUGUUUAGUAUUCCAAUUCGCAUACUCGUUUGGCCUGCAUGCAUCGCCUUAUAAUGCAGAAGCAGGUAAUUAGGAUCAACAUGCAGCACUUUGUUGAACCAGUUUGAGCUCUAGAGUCAGUGGUGAGCCUCCAUGCAUUUCGGAGGAUCCUUUUAUUGCUAUCUAGUUAGUUCAAUAGAAUGUUGUGGGGUUUGUCCCAACAUUCAUCUCAGUCAGUUUAGAGGUUUCAUAGACGGAUAGUAGUAGUUAAGUUGUGUCUCUUUAUUUCAGAUUCUAUAUUUGAGACUUAAGUGCAAAUUUGGCCAAGACAGUAUUUAAAGUCAUUUUUAUGAGAACUUCUUCAAUUCUAUAACUGAAUUAAGUUGAGUCUUCCGCUGAGUUAAGUAAGUCAGACCAAGAGUUCCCUUGAGGCCAGCAAUGGUCACCAAGUGCUAGUCCCACCCAGGGUAUAAGCUCGGAGCAUGCUAAUAUAUGCAUUUCAUAUACGACUUACGUAUUCAGAUACUUUUAACAUUUUGUUAGAGCAGAAGAGUCUUAACUUAUAUAUGUAGGUGAAGUAUUGAUAUAUUGGGAUAUUGGUACUUAUUAUUAUUUUACUUUAAUACUUAUUUAUAAGUCUACAACACACGGUAAGCACACACAAGGUGCUCAACAUGUGUGCUUGAAGUAAAUUUAAUUUUGAAUGAGGUUAAUUUGGUCAUUUUAUAUAAUACUCAAUGUUUCUUUUACUUGUACAAAAUGCAAAAUUGCUUUUAUGGACAUCAAAUGACCAAAAACCCAGUAUCCUUUAACUCAUUGUCAUAUGUUAUAGAACAUUGCAAUUGGUUGAAAAUGAACUUUAAUGUAGUUGCAAUAUAAUUAUUUUUACUUCUUGUCAAAACUGCCCCUAUGCGGCUUAAGCUUAUUUUAUCAACUAUUUGUUAUUACGUGGAGAAAUUAAAGACAUCUUUAGAUGAGUCCUUUUAAGCGGUACCGACCUAGAUAUAUAUAUUCUUUUCGUUUUAUUUAUGUCAUUUUUACUAAAAAUAGGUAAUAUUUAAUAUUUAUCAUUUCACAAAAGUAAUGCAUUAUAUAGUAAUGAAAUCGACUCUCUGAACUCUGUGACGGACCGUCACAGGUACGACGAACCGUCGUGAGCCCCCGUUUCAAAACACUUCAACUCUUGAGAAUUUGGUACAGGGAACGAUUCUCUGAACGUCAUGACGGAGGUGCAGGACGGACCGUCGUAGGUACGAUGGGCUGUCACAGACUCCUUAAGGAAAUCGAGUCUUUGACGAACCUGCAUGACGGACCGUCGCAGGCACGACGGGCCGUCGCAGGUUGCGCAAUCCCAGUCUGGGUCAGAUUUCUUUACACAUUUUAAGGGACGUUUUUGACUAUUCCUUCUUUAAUUAUAAAGUUAGUGGGUUAAUGUUAAUAAGUCUAAUUACUUGGGGGUUAAAAGAGGUAACCUCAAGUUAAUUAGUGGGUUAUUAUUGCCAUCUUUCAUUCUUAAUUAUAUACUAAUUAGGGUAAAAGAAAGAGGGUUUGAAUAAAGAAAAUAGAAAGAACACAAAGAGAGAGAGGGAGAAUCGAACGAGAAGGUGAAAAGAAGAGGAGAAACACAAAGCUUUGGGAAAUUGCUUGCUUGAUUUCUUGUCUUCGGUGGAGGUAGGUUUUGGUUUUCAUGCUAUUCGUAGUAAACUCUUAAUAGCGAAUGAUAUGUGUUAGUAGUAUUGUAAACCCUUCUAUAUGCUUAAUUGUAUGCUUGCAUGAAUGAUGUGAUUAUGGAAUUAUGAAUAAAUAAGCAUGAUGAAGUUAUUGAAUCCCAAAUCUUGAAAAGAAACCUUAAUCUACUUUGUUAAUGAUGAUGCCUUGGUAUAAAAGAAGGCUUGAUGAACGAAAGGGGUGAGAUUAGGGGAUCGAGUGCCACAUUCUGGUACCAGUAUAGAGAUAGAGGAUCGGGUGCCACGUUCCGGUACCAGGAUAGAAUGAGGAUCGAAGUGUCACGUUCCGACACCAGGAUAGUAUAUGGAUCGGGUGCCACGUUCCGGUACCAGGAUAGAAUGAGGAUCGGAGUGUCACGUUCCGACACCAGGAUAGUAUAUGGAUCGGGUGCCACGUUCCGGUACCAGGAUAGAAUGAGGAUCGGAGUGUCACGUUCCGACACCAGGAUAGUAUAUGGAUCGGAGUGUCACGUACCGACACGAGGGGAAUAAAUAUAAUGAAUCUUGUAAGAUGCUAAUAUACUCAAUUUAAUGAAACUAAUUCCCAAAUGAGUAUGAUAUUGAGGCUUGAGUCCUCACGUGUGAACUUGACGGUAUUUGUUAAUGAUAUAGUACUUGUUGUUGCUACAUGUUGAGUAUCAUAGUUGAUUUUAUGAUAUUGCUUAAUAUAUAUUGUUUUCUAAUUUCGAGUUGACCGAUGAUAUCUACUCAGUACCCGUGUUUUGUACUGACCCCUACUUUUGUGUUUUCUUCUUUGUUAUUUGUGGAGUGCAGCAAACAUGCCGUCGUCUUCGACUCAACAGUAUUCAAGCCAGUCUUUACUACACCGGAAAUUCAGGGUGAGCUAAUGCUUCUAGCUUGGACUGGAUCUUCUUCUUCAAGUCUUGAUGCCUUGAACUUCCGGCAUGGACUAGCUUCUUAUGUAUUUUUAGCUUCUUAGACAUUUUUAGUUAGUAAUUUGAUCAUAGAUGUUCUUGUGAUGAUGACUUCCAGAUUUUGGGGAAUAAUAGUUAUUGAAUUGGUUUUUAUUUAAUGAGCUUAAGUCUUCCGCAUUAUUUUCUAUUGAUAUACGUUGAAAUGAUAAGGUUUAGAUUGGUUGGUUCGCUCACAUAGGAGGGUAAAUGUGGGUGCCAGUCGCGGCUCGGUUUUGGGUCGUGACAAACCUUGUAUCAGAGCAUUAGGUUCGUUGGUCUCAUCACACAAGAACGAGUCUAGUAGAGUCUUAAGGAACGGUAGGGGGGCGCCUUUACUUUUCUUUGAGGGGCUAUAAGACUUUAGGAAAUUCCAUUCUUUCUUAUCUCUUUCGUGAUACUACUUGAAUCCAAUUGGUAUCUAGGUGAUUCAAAUUGGUAUCUGACCAUCUUCACUCUAUUUCGCAGAUGGUUAGAACUAGAUCAACGACUGCGCCAACACCAACACCGGCAAGACAAGAAACGUCUGAGCCAGCCACUGGGGCUGUGGCUCAAGGAAGAGCAAUAGCAAGAGGUCGUGGUAGAGUUCGUGGGAGGACGUCCUCUAGAGGGAGAGGACGAGUACCUAGCCCAUCUGAUGCUAGGGCGGUGACUCCUCCACCGACUGAGGAAGUAGUAAGAGAGGGUGAGGAAGGGGAGAAUGAACAAGUGCAAAAUGAUGAAUUGCCACCCCAACCUACCCCAGAGAUGAUCAAUCAGGUUCUCGCUUAUCUUAGUGGGUUAUCUGAUUAGGGCCAGACACCUCCAGUGUUUUCUGCACCAGUACCUCAGGUUCCGGAGGUACAACAUGCGGCUACUAUGGCUCCUCGUAUGGAUGCCUCAUUGGACAUAGGCACGUUUCCACGUCUGACUACUGGGCCUAUAAUGACAAAUGAUCAGCAUGAACUUUUCAGUAAGUUCUUGAAAUUGAAACCCCCAGUCUUCAAGGGUGCUGAAUCUGAGAAUGCUUACGAUUUUCUGGUUGACUGUCAUGAGCUACUACACAAGAUGGGUAUAGUAGAACGGUUUGGUGUUGAGUUCGUGAGUUAUCAGUUUCAAGGGAACGCCAAAAUGUGGUGGCGGUCACAUGUUGAGUGUCAACCAACAGAGGCACCACCUAUGACUUGGGCCUCAUUCUCUAGCUUGUUUAUGGAGAAGUGUGUCAACCAACAGAGGCACCACCUAUGACUUGGGCCUCAUUCUCUAGCUUGUUUAUGGAGAAGUAUAUCCCCCAGACUUUGAGGGAUAGGAAAAGGGAUGAGUUCUUGAGCCUAGAUCAAGGUAGGAUGUCGGUUAAUGCAUAUGAGGCUAGGUUUCGCGCACUAUCCAGGUAUGCCACUCAACUUUGUUUCAGUCUACAAGAGCGGAUUCGCCGGUUUGUGAAGGGGUUGAGGUCAGAGUUGCGGAUUUCGGCCUUACAGGUAGCGGCUACGGCAAAAUCCUUCCUAGAAGUGGUAGACUUCGUGAUAGAGGUGGAAGGAGUGAAGCCCAAUGACUUCACCUCGACAUCGACAUCAAAAAGGUUUCGAAAGGGAGGUGAGUUUAAUGGUUCUUACCCUAGGGGAUAGGGUUUCGGAGGUUACUCAGUCCGACCGAUUCAGUCUUCACUACAGACUGUAGUUGGGGGUCCACCUCAGACCGGUCAAAACUUCCUUGAGAGACCUAUGCAUGAACCAAGAAAGUGCUAUGGAUGUGGGGAGAUUGGAAAUAUUAAGAGAUAUUGUCCAAAACAGAGUUACCGACCCCCAAUAGCUAGAGGUAGAGGUGGUUAUGGAAGAAGUCGUCAUUCUGGAGGACGCGGUGGUCGAGGUAAUGGUGGUCACCAAAACGGCCGGGGUGAUGGGCAAACUGGAGCCACUACAUCACAACAUGGUAGGGGCAAUAGACAGACAAGUAAUGGGGCUCAUUGCUACGCUUUUCCUGGGAGAUCUGAAACGGAGACAUCAGAUGCUGUCAUCACAGGUAAUCUUUUAAUUUGUGAUUGCAUGGCUUCUAUAUUGUUUGAUCCUGGAUCCACAUUUUCUUAUGUAUCUUCCUCAUUUGCUAAUGGUCUAAAUUUACGUUGUGAAUUACUUGACAUGCCUAUUCAUGUUUCUACUCCGGUGGGUGAGUCUGUGGUAGUUGAAAAGGUAUAUAGGUCUUGUUUGGUGAACUUUGUGGGGAGCAACAGUUAUGUAGAUUUGGUUAUCUUAGAAAUGGUUGAUUUUGAUGUAAUUCUGGGUAUGACUUGGCUUUCUCCGCAAUUUGCGAUCUUGAUUGUAAUGCUAAAACGGUGACGUUAGCCAAGCCUGGGACAGAUCCGUUAGUGUGGGAGGGUGACUACACUUCCAAUCCGGUGUGUAUCAUCUCCUUUCUUCGUGCUAAGAAAAUAGUUAGUAAAGGGUGUUUGGCUUUCUUGGCACAUCUCAAGGAUGACACUACCCAAGUACCCUCGAUUGAGUCAGUUUCGGUAGUCCGUGAGUUUUUGGAUGUGUUCCCUGCAGAUCUUCCUGGUAUGCCACCGGAUAGGGAUAUUGACUUCUGUAUUGAUCUUGAACCGGGUACUCGCCCCAUUUCUAUACCCCCUUAUAGAAUGGCUCCCGCCGAAUUGAGAGAGUUAAAGGCCCAACUUCAAGAGUUGUUGAGCAAAGGUUUCAUUAGACCAAGUGCAUCUCCUUGGGGUGCUCCGGUUUUGUUUGUAAAGACGAAGGAUGGGAGUUUUCGGAUAUGCAUAGACUACCGGCAGUUGAACAAGGUAACCAUAAAGAACAAGUAUCCUCUUCCUCGCAUUGAUGACUUGUUCGAUCAGUUACAAGGUGCUCGUGUCUUCUCUAAGAUUGACUUGAGAUCCGGUUAUCAUCAAUUGAAAAUACGGGCAACGGAUGUGCCAAAGACUGCUUUUAGAAUCAGGUAUGGGCAUUACUAAUUUGUAGUGAUGUCUUUUGGUCUUACGAAUGCCCCUACUGCGUUCAUGAGUUUGAUGAACGGGAUUUUUAAGCAAUAUUUGGAUCUCUUUGUGAUCGUAUUUAUUGAUGAUAUACUGAUAUACUCAAAGAGCAAGAAGGAACAUGAAGAGCAUUUGAGAAUGGUAUUGGAAAUGUUGAGGGAGAAAAAUCUUUAUGCCAAGUUCUCUAAGUGUGAGUUUUGGCUAGAUGCAGUGUCCUUCUUGGGGCAUUUAGUUUCUAAGGAGGGAGUGAUAGUGGAUCCUUCCAAGAUUGAGACAGUGAAGAAUUGGGUAAGACCUACUAAUGUGUCAGAAAUAAGGAGCUUUGUUGGGUUAGCUAGCUACUACCACCGAUUCGUCAAGGGAUUCUCUUCUAUUGCUUCCCAACUGACGAACUGCAAAAUGUUCCAUUUGUAUGGUCGGAUGAGUGUGAGGAAAGCUUUCAGAAGCUCAAGACUCUGUUGACUACUGCACUAAUUCUCACCUUGCCAGUGGAAGGUAGGAAUUUUAUUGUCUAUUGUGAUGCAUCCUAUUCGGGUUUGGGUGCAGUGCUAAUGCAAGAGAAGAAUGUGAUUGCUUAUGCUUCGAGGCAAUUAAAAGUGCAUGAACAUAACUAUCCAACUCAUGAUUUGGAAUUGGCUGCGGUAGUGUUUGCAUUAAAGCAAUGGAGACACUAUUUAUAUGGGGUUAAGUGUGAGGUCUACACGGAUCAUCGUAGCCUUCAGUAUGUCUUUACUCAGAAAGAUUUGAACUUGAGACAGAGGAGAUGGAUGGAGCUACUAAAGGACUAUGAUAUCACUAUCUUGUAUCAUCCGGGGAAGGCGAAUGUUGUAGCGGAUGCUUUAAGUAGAAAGGCGGGAAGCAUGGGAAGUCUAGCCCACUUGCAAGCUUCUAGACGCCCAUUGGCUAGAGAAGUUCAGAUUCUGGCUAACGACCUUAUGAGAUUAGAAGUAAAUGAGAAGGGAGGAUUUUUUGCUUGUGUGGAGGCAAGAUCUUCCUUCCUUGACAAGAUUAAGGGAAAACAGUUUGAUGAUGAGAAACUAAGCAGAAUCCAAGAUAAGGUGUUGCGAGGAGAGGCUAAGGAAGCACAAAUCGAUGAGGAAGGUGUUUUGAGUAUUAAGGGAAGGGUAUGUGUACCCCGCGUCGAUGAUUUGAUCAACACUAUUCUGACAGAGGCUCAUAGUUCAAGGUAUUCGAUACAUCCGGGUGCAACAAAGAUGUACUGUGACCUAAAGCAACACUUUUGGUGGAGUAGAAUGAAGCGUGAUAUUGUGGAUUUUAUUGUCAAAUGUCCAAACUGUCAACAAGUAAAGUAUGAACACCAAAGGCCCGGAGGAACACUUCAGAGAAUGUCCAUUCCUGAAUGGAAGUGGGAAAGGAUUGCAAUGGAUUUCGUGGUUGGUCUUCCAAGGACAUUGGGAAAGUUUGAUUCUAUUUGGGUAAUUGUUGAUAGGUUAACUAAGUAUGCUCAUUUCAUUCCAGUUAAGGUGACUUACAAUGCCGAGAGGUUAGCCAAGAUCUAUAUCUCAGAAAUCGUUCGAUUGCAUGGGGUUCCACUAUCCAUCAUAUCAGAUAGAGGUACGCAAUUUACUUCUAAGUUUUGGAAAACAUUGCAUGCGGAAUUGGGUACUAGGUUGGACCUUAGUACUGCGUUCCAUCCUCAGACCGAUGGUCAGUCUGAGCGAACGAUUCAAGUGUUGGAGGAUAUGCUUCGUGCAUGUGUGAUAGAAUUUGGUGGUCAGUGGGAUAGCUUCUUACCCUUAGCAGAGGUCUCCUACAACAAUAGCUAUCACUCAAGUAUUGAUAUGGCUCCAUUUGAAGCAUUGUAUGGUAGGAGGUGUAGGUCCCCCAUUGGUUGGUUUGAUGCAUUUGAAGUUAGACCUUGGGGUACUGACCUUUUGAGGGAUUCAUUAGAGAAAAUGAAAUCUAUUCAAGAAAAGCUUCUAGCGGCGCAAAGUGGUGAUGCGGUUUGGUAAGCAAGGUAAACUUAGCCCAAGGUAUAUUGGCCCAUUUGAAGUACUCAAGCGAAUAGGGGAGGUGGCUUAUGAGUUAGCCUUGCCUCCAAGGCUGUCCGGAGUACAUCCGGUAUUCCAUGUGUCGAUGUUGAAAAGAUACCCUGGGGAUGGAAACUACAUUAUCCGUUGGGAUUCAGUUUUGCUUGAUGAAAAUUUGACUUAUGAGGAGGAGCCUGUUGCCAUUUUAGAUAGAGAAAUUCGCAAGUGGAGAUCAAGGGAGAUUGUAUCCAUCAAAGUUCAAUAGAAGAAUCGACCAGUCGAAGAAGCCACUUGGGAGAAAGAGGCUGAUAUGCGAGAAAGAUACCCACACCUUUUACAGAUUCAGGUACUCCUUUUCGCCCUUGUUUUCCUUCUUGUGAUCGUUCGGGGACGAACGAUGGGUAAAUUGGUAUCUAUUGUAACGACCUGUUUAGUCAUUUUGAGCAGCAGACUUCAAUUCUGGAAAAACUGGCAAAAACGACUGACCCCACGACGGACCGUCAUGGGCACGACGGACCGUCGAGGGGGUCUCGUUCCAUAACACUUAGAAAAUAGAAAAUUGGGUACUGAAAUCGACUCUCUGAACUCUGUGACGGACCUGUAGGACGAACCGUCACAGGUACGACGAACCGUCGUGAGCCCCCGUUUCAAAACACUUCAACUCUUGAGAAUUUGGUACAGGGAACGAUUCUCUGAACGUCGUGACGGAGGUGCAGGACGGACCGUCGUAGGUACGAUGGGCCGUCACAGACUCUUUAAGGAAAUCGAGUAUCUGACGAACCUGCAUGACGGACCGUCGCAGGCACGACGGGCCAUCGCAGGUUGCGCAAUCCCAGUCUGGGUCGGAUUUCUUUACACGUUUUAAGGGACGUUUUUGACUAUUCCUGCUUUAAUUAUAAAGUUAGUGGGUUAAUGUUAAUAAGUCUAAUUACUUGGGGGUUAAAAGAGGUAACCUCAAGUUAAUUAAUGGGUUAUUAUUGCCAUCUUUCAUUCUUAAUUAUAUACUAAUUAGGGUAAAAGAAAGAGGGUUUGAAUAAAGAAAAUAGAAAGAACACAAAGAGAGAGAGGGAGAAUCGAACGAGAAGGUGAAAAGAAGAGGAGAAACACAAAGCUUUGGGAAAUUGCUUGCUUGAUUUCUAGUCUUCGGUGGAGGUAGCUUAUGGUUUCAUGCUAUUCGUAGUAAACUCUUAAUAGCGAAUGAUAUGUGUUAGUAGUAUUGUAAACCCUUCUAUAUGCUUAAUUGUAUGCUUGCAUGAAUGAUGUGAUUAUGUAAUUAUGAAUAAAUAAGCAUGAUGAAGUUAUUGAAUCCCAAAUCUUGAAAAGAAACCCUAAUCUACUUUGUUAAUGAUGAUGCCUUGGUAUAAAAGAAGGCUUGAUGAACGAAAGGGGUGAGAUUAGGGGAUCGGGUGCCACGUUUCGGUACCAGGAUAGAGAUAGAGGAUCGGGUGCCACGUUCCGGUACCAGGAUAGAAUGAGUAUCGGAGUGUCACGUUCCGACACCAGGAUAGUAUAUGGAUCGGGUGCCACGUUCCGGUACCAGGAUAGAAUGAGGAUCGGAGUGUCACGUUCCGACACCGGGAUAGUAUAUGGAUCGGGUGCCACGUUCCGGUACCAGGAUAGAAUGAGGAUCGGAGUGUCACGUUCCGACACCAGGAUAGUAUAUGGAUCGGAGUGUCACGUACCGACACGAGGGGAAUAAAUAUAAUGAAUCUUGUAAGAUGCUAAUAUACUCAAUUUAAUGAAACUAAUUCCCAAAUGAGUAUGGUAUUGAGGCUUGAGUCCUCACGUGUGAACUUGACGGUAUUUGUUAAUGAUAUAGUACUUGUUGUUGUUACAUGUUGAGUAUCAUAGUUGAUUUUAUGAUAUUGCUUAAUAUAUAUUGUUUUCUAUUUCGAGUUGGCCGAUGAUAUCUACUCAGUACCCGUGUUUUGUACUGACCCCUACUUUUAUGUUUUCUUCUUUGUUAUUUGUGGAGUGCAGCAAACGUGCCGUCGUCUUCGACUCAACAGUAAUUCAAGCCAGUCUUUACUACACCGGAAAUUCAGGGUGAGCUAAUGCUUCUAGCUUGGACUGGAUCUUCUUCUUCAAGUCUUGAUGCCUUGAACUUCCGGCAUGGACUAGCUUCUUAUGUAUUUUUAGCUUCUUAGACAUUUUUAGUUAGUAAUUUGAUCAUAGAUGUUCUUGUGAUGAUGACUUCCAGAUUUUGGGGAAUAAUAGUUAUUGAAUUGGUUUUUAUUUAAUGAGCUUAAGUCUUCCGCAUUAUUUUCUGUUGAUAUACGUUGAAAUGAUAAGGUUUAGAUUGGUUGAUUCACUUACAUAGGAGAGUAAAUGUGGGUGCCAGUCGCGGCUCGGUUUUGGGUCGUGACAGCAUAGAAAGCUAAGUAACUAAUUCAUACUUAUUGGUCAAAUUAAAUAGUCAAAAUAAAUAAAUUCAUGUUUAUUGAUUGAAAACUUGACUUCAAAAAAACAGUAAGAAUAGAAUAAAAUUUGCUUAAUUUCGUAAUACACAUAAAAUCUAAAAUAGUGACAUAUAAAUAUGAUCGGAGAGAGUAUAAGUUAAUUCUCUAUUUGUAUCAUACAAAUAGAGAAUCAAGAUUUUAUUAAUGAUUUUUCUUUUAUUUUUUGAUGUAAAGCGCAGUCAAGGCAGCGAUUUCACUUUAAUUUUUUUUAAUUUUCUUACAUAAAUCGCUGGCAAUUUCUCCAAUCUUUUUGUAAAUUUUUUUUAAUUGUGUCGUAAAGCGCUGCAAUUGCAGCGAUAUUUUUUUGCUAAAAAAAUCAAUAUUGUAAAUCGUCUAUGCAUGACUUUAUUGAUUUUUCUUUUUUUUUUGAACAAAUUUUUAGUGGAUUUUUUUAUAAAAUUGAAACUUCUUUUUUAACGUAAGAAAAUUAAAAAAAAUUAAACUGUAAUCGCUGCCUUGGCAGGGAUUUGUUGUAAAAAAAAUUUAUUUUAAAAAAGUGAAUUGUACAAAUUGGUGCUAUAGCAGCGAUUUUCCUUAGCGUCGGCAAACAAAAUCACUACAUCCUAAGCGAUUUUAUCGUUUUGGUUAUAAAAAAAUUCAUAUACCUGUAACGACCUGUUUAGUCGUUUUGAGCAGCAGAUUUUAUUCUGGAAAAACAGGCUGAGGCGACGGACCCAACGACGGACCAUCAUGGGCACGACGGACCGUCGCAGGGUCUCGUUUGAAAACACUUAGAAAAACUGAAAAUUGGAUACUGAAAAUCGACUCUUUGAACUUCGUAACGAAAUGGCAGGACGGACCGUCACAGGUAUGACGGACCGUCACAGACCAUUGGUGGAAAUUUGGGUCUCUGAACUUUGCGACGACCUGCAGGACGGACCGUCGCAGGCACGACGGCCCGUCACAGGUUGCGCAAUCCCAGUCCGGGUCGGAUUUCUUGAUACGUUUUAAGGGACGUUUUUGACUAUUCUUGCCUUAAUUAUAAAGUUAGUGGGUUAAUGUUAAUAAGUCUAAUUACUUGGGGGUUAAAAGAGGUAACCUUAAGUUAAUUAGUGGGGCAUUAUUGCCAUCUUUUAUUCUUAAUUAUAUGUUAAUUAGGGUAAAAGGAAGAGGGUUUUGAAUAAAGAAAAUAGAAAGAACAAGAGAAAGAGAGACAGAGAGUCGAACGAGAAAGAAGAGAAACAAAGCUUGGAGAAAAAUUUGCUUGCUUGAUCACUAAUCUUCGGUGGAGGUAGGUUAUGGUUUCUCUUACGAUAUUCGUAGUAAACUCUUAAUAGAGAAUGAUAUGUAUUGAUAAUAUUGUAAACCCUGCUAUGUGCUUAAUUGUAUGCUUGCAUGAAUGUAAUUAUAUAAUUGUGAUUAUAUAAGCAUGAUGAAGUUAUUGAAUCCCAAAUCUUGCAAAAUCCUAAUCUCUUUGUUAAUAAUGAGGCCUUGGUAUAAAAGAAGGCGUGAUGAACUAAAAUAAUGGGAUUGAUGAUGCCUUGGUAAGAAAGAAGGCUUGAUGAAUUGAUGGAAGGAGAUUAGGGGAUCGGGUGUCACGAACCGACACGUAGAAUUAGGGGAUCGGGUGUCACGAACCGACACGUAGUAUUAGGGGAUCGGAUGUCACGAACCGACACGUAGUAUUAUGAGAUCGGGUGUCACGAACCGACACGUAGUAUUAGGGGAUCGGGUGUCACGAACCGACACGUAGUAUUAGGGGAUCGGGUGUCACGAACCGACACGUAGAUUUAGGGGAUCGGGUGUCACGAACUGACACAUAGAUUUAGGGGAUCGGGUGUCACGAACCGACACAUAGAUUUAGGGGAUCGGAGUGUCACGUACCGACACAAGAGGAUUAAUGAAUAUUGAGGGAGCGGAGUGUCACGUACCGACACAAGAGAAAUAAAGAUAAUGAAUCUUGAAAGAUAUUAAUAUACUCAAUCUAAUGAACAUGAUUCCCAAAUGAGUAUGGUAUUGAGGCUUGAGUCCUCAUGUGUGAACUUGACGGUAAUUGUUAAUGAUAUAGUAUUUGUUGUUGCUACAUGUUGAGUAUCAUAGUUGAUUUUAUGAUAUUACUUGGUAUAUAUUGAUUUCUAUUUUGAGUUGGCCGAUGAUAUCUACUCAGUACCCGUGUUUUGUACUGACCCCUACUUUUAUAUUUUCUUCUUGUUUAUUUGUGGAGUGCAGCAAACGUGCCAUCGUCUUCAACUCAACAGUAAUUCAAGCCAGUCUUACUACAUCGGAAAUUCAGGGUGAGCUAAUGCUUCUAGCUUGGACUGGAUCUUCUUCUUCAAGUCUUGAUGCCUUGAACUUCCGGCAUGGACUAGCUUCUUAUGUAUUUUUAGCUUUUAGAACACUCUUAGUUUAGUCAUUUGAUCGUAGAUGUUCUUGUGAUGAUGACUUCCAGAUUUUGGGGAAUAAUAGAUGUUGAAUUUUAGAAGUUAAUGAAUUGGUCUUUAUUUAAUGAGUUUAAGUCUUCCGCAUUACUUUCUGUUGAUAUUAUAUUGAAAUGUUAAGGUCAGAUUGGUUGGUUCACUCACAUAGAAGGGUAAGUGUGGGUGCCAGUCGCAACCCGGUUUGGGUCGUGACAAUACCUUUUUGAAAUUUUUGUUAAUAUUUUUCACCCUUUAGCCUCUGUACUUGCAUGAAUUACAAUAUUCUUCCUAUUUUACUCUUGUGAAUAAUUAGCUUUGAAAGUAUAUGUUUGAUCAACCUAGAAAAACUAAGUGAAUAGUUUAUGUUCAUUAAUUCAAUUAAUUAAUAAAAAUAAAUUAAUUAAUAUUUUCUUGACAAAUUCCUAUUUGAUUUUUUAAUUUAAUUCAAAAUUUUCAAGUUCCAUGUUUCACUCUUUUCUUGACGAGUUUUGUAAUAAACUAUGUACAAGAAAAGCUGUAGCUAUAAAGAAAUCAACGUAGUACAAAAUUGAAAAUUGUAUUUCAUUAAGUAAAAAAAUAGAAGGGCUUAACAACAAAACAAACUAAUUAAAUUUUAACUUAAACCCCCUGAAAUAAUAAUAAUAAUAAUAAUAAUAAUAAUAAAACAAUACUACAACAAGAAUCAUCAACCACAUACAUAAUAAGAGAGAAUAGACAAACAAAAAUUUGGAUACAACGAUGAAAUAACUAUAGAUAAUACAAAUUUGGAUAUUCAUUAAACUAUAUAUAGUGAAUAUCCUGAUACUAUAUUGCCUAAUUCUCGUUUCUAGGUACAUCAUCCAUGACAAACACGCCUAUUGAAACCCUUCAUGGAGGCGUAUAUCGGUGCCCAAUCCUUUUAUAACGAGGCGUAUAUAAGUGCUAAACUGUAAUGUUAAGAAAUACUUUUUAAUUAGUUUUCUAAAUAUAAUUUAUUCCUUUAUUUCUUUUUGUGUUAAUACUAGAACUAGAAUAGAUCAAUUGAUGUUCAUAACAAAUUCCAACACCUCACUCAUAAUGAAAUUGAUCAUAAUUUAAAGUACUAAAUCAUGCUAAAUAAGUUAAGUAAGUAUUAGUUACAUGCCUAAAUAUUAAAAGAAAAUAAAAUUAGAUCAUGUAUUUUAAUUGUUUAAAUCUAUGUAAAACUAAAAAAUAAAUAUUCAAUAUUAUUGUCAUUCUUAGUGUUGAAUUGAUUCGUUUUUUGCAUUAUUAUUAAUUUGAUUUUUAUUUAAACUUUAUUAUAAUUACCAACAUGUAUGGUCUAUAAUCUUUAUUUGAUAAUUAAGAAUUCUAACUUCCAAACAUAAAAUAAAUAUAGUAAAAGAUAAAAACUGUGAAAAAAGUAUAAGAGAUAUUUAUUAAUUAUAUCAAAGUAAGUAUUUUUACGUAUAAAAUAAAAACUUUAAUUUAUAUGUAUAAUGUCGGGUUGGUUUGGUCUCGGGUUGAUUUAUUAUAGUUGAAACCAACCCAACCCAAAUAUAGUCGGGGUUUUUUUUUCCAACACAAAAUUGAGUCAAACCAAACCACUAGUCAGGUUUUUUUUCGAUUUGACUAGGUCUGCGGGUUUAGUUCAAUUUUCGAUUUGAUUUUAUACACUCGAUUUUGAUUUUUGUGAUCUGUAGUAAGAGAUAUAGAGCAAGUCUUUUUUCCAUUAAACUUAUUUAUUUUAUUUUAUUUUUGUAGGAAAGAAGGGGGACCUUGUAUAAUUUUUUUGAUUUAGAUUUGAUGUAUCUUUGUUAAAAAAGUGGGUUACAUACACUCCUAUUAUCAUAUAAACGUGAAUUACUUUAUAAUGAGCGAUAUAUAAAUUUUAAUAAAUUAUAAAAUUGAGGAGGAGUAUAUCAAGACUUUUUACGGACUUGCGUAUUUAGAUAUUUUAGAGAUUCUGUUAAUUAAAGUAGAAGAGUAGGUGAAUAUUGGUAUGUUGAAAACAUGUGCUAUUUAUACUCAUGAAUAGAAUAAUUAAGUAGUAUAUAAUUGUUUAGUUAAACGUGUUGGGAGCCGUGCAUGCAUAUAUAUAUAUAUAUAUGCAUUUCAUGACAUAUAUAAUAAUAUAAUAAUAAUAUUAUCCAAUCUCACCAUUUAUUUAAUAUAAUAUUACAUGAUAAUUAAGAGGGCACUUCAUUUAUUUAGGUGUGUGUGAGUGAGUGAUGAUGGAGUAGUCCUAGGUAAUAGUGACGGUUGCUAGAGAUGUAAGUAUCCCAAAAAUUGCUGCCAAAGUUUGACCAACCACAUUCUCAAGUAAGUUUCCAAUAAGGAUAACGGGAGCUACAAGGGUUCCUGUGGUUGGAGUCAAAGUGCAAUUAGCAAUUGGGAGAGGAAUCCUUGCAAUACAUGUUCCUGACAAAAGACUUGUAUUGGUGGACACUGCAGCAUUAAUAAUGCCUUG
rnacentral:lncRNA from 1 species